GGGCAUAAUAUUAGCGGCCAUAGAUAACCCGUCAAACGCAGUGGAGUGGGCGCUGGCGGAGAUGGUGAACAACCCAGAAUUGCUGGCCAAGGCAGUGGAGGAGAUGGACCGGGUGGUCGGUCGCGAGCGACUGGUGCAAGAGUCGGACAUCAUGCAGCUCAACUAUCUCAAGGCGUGCAUACGUGAGGCAUUUCGCCUCCACCCAAUCGCUCCCUUCAACCUGCCGCACGUCGCGAUUGCAGACACCAUUGUUGCGGGCUACCGCGUGCCCAAGGGUAGCAACGUCAUCCUCAGCCGGCUGGCCCUGGGCCGGAACCCCACCGUCUGGGAUGAACCGCUCCGCUUCAAGCCAGAGCGCCAUAUGGGAGACAACAUCAAUGUGGUGCUUACUGAGAGCGAAUUGCGGUUCAUCUCCUUUAGCACCGGACAGCGGGGAUGCAUCGCGGCAUCACUAGGAACAACCAUGAGUGUCAUGCUCUUUGGCAGGCUCCUGCAUGGCUUCACCUGGACCAAACCGGCUGGGGUGUCGGCCAUCAAUCUCAGCGAGUCCAAGCACGACCUUUUCAUAGAGAAGCCGCUAGUGCUACAUGCUAAGCCACGUCUUCCAGUGCACCUCUACUCUCUCAUGCAUUGUUGAGCAAAUAACGAGCUAUGAAUCACCGAUAUGGCGAGUACGCUAGCUAUUUUUUUGAUGAAUCUAUACUUACUAAUAAAGGAAGGAAAUAUUCUUUUUUUCGUCUCGCUUUGUUUCGUUCCACUUCGAUUGAUUUUCACGUAUGCUAGCUAUUUUGGUUUUGUCUGUUGCACGUACGAGCGAGCCGGUUUCUUUCAUGCGCCGCUGGAUCGUCCUAGGCUUGUCCAAAGCAUUGGAACAGUACGUGAUAGGCAAACAACCACCCAUCUAGUAUUAAUUUUGGACAAAUAGAGAUUAAAUGUAUACAAGAUGAUGCUCUUUAUAUCACCAACGAAGGAUGAAAGUAGGUCGGCGCAUAUAGGGCAACUCCAUUUGAGUUGUUUCUUCCGGCCCAAGUCCCAGGCGGGGCAGCAUAGCAGCCUAUAAUAGUCUUUCUAUUUUGGUUCAUCAAUUAAAUAGUACCACAUAGUUUUCUUACUUUUAAUCCCACAUAGUUUUCUUACUUUUAAUCCUACAAGUUUAUAUACGCUAGCAUUAAAAAACUCAGAGAGUGAGGUAUGCAAUGAGGAUGCACAUUUCGAGGGUGAUCAGAUCUGAGAUUAUAGGCCAAUGAAAGCAAUACAGACACGAUUAAAGAUCUGUGAUUAUGGGCCAAUGGAACUAGUGAAAACCCAACUAAAUAUCUGAGAUUGUAGGCCAAUGAAAGAAAUGAAGACCCGAUUAAAGAUUCAAGACUAUUAUGGGCCAAUGGAAGAAAUAAAGACGUGAUUAAACUUGCAAACUCAUGCCGAUGUGCAUGGUGCAUAAUUGAAGGACUCGUGGGCUAAAUCAUUAUAAUUUACACGAAAGGCGAGAAGCAGAUGGGUGGGGUAGACCGAGAAGGCAUUUAAGGACGAGGAGGAACUCGCAAUUUUCACACUUGACGCAUACGACCAGCUCGUUGCCACACUCACGAAACAUGAAAUCAUGGGUGAUGACACGCCGAGGUGUCCACCAAAGCCCGUGCCACCAGGGAGAUACCUCUCUCUCUACGGAUUUUUUAUUUCUUGCAAUUAAUUUUGAUGAUAAAGACUAAUGUUUGUCCCGCGUUGCAACACACGGGCAUAUGUGCUAGUAAAUCAAAAGGAAAAAAAAACUGAAAUAAAAAUUAAAAAUAAAAACCUCAAGGAAAAAAACCCAACAAAAAGCCCAAGAAAUACCGGAAUGGAAUCAAACCUUGGAAGAAAAAACCACAAAAUCAGCACAACAAAUGCCGAACCAAAUACAACGAAAGCAACAGAAUAAAAAGGGAGCAACUAGUUGACGAGGGCUCCUUCGGGAGCCUCGCAACGAUCAGCGCCACUUGGCGCGCUCUCAGCCGCCCUGCCACAUGUCGCGCUCUAGACGCUCCUUUCGUAUUUUAAUAUUUUUCGCACGCGUUUUCGGCUUUUUAAAUGGUUUAUUUGGGGGUUUUUUCGACGUUUUGGUUUUCCGCAGCUUUUAGGCCAAAAAACUCAAAAAACAAUUGCGUGAAAAAGCACAUUUUUUUCUUCCGCGAGAGGCACGGUUUUGCUUCCGUGAGAGGCACGGUUGUGCUUUCGCGAGAGGCACAGUUUUGCUUCCGCGAGAGGCACGGUUGUGCUUUCGCGAGAGGCACAGCCGUGCCUCUCGAAAACGAAAAAAAUGCAUUUUCUGGUUUUUUUUCCUUCCGCGAGAGAAACGAUUUUGCUUCCGCGAGAGACACGGUUGUGAUUUUGCGAGAGGCACGGCCGUGCCUCUUUCAAAAAGGAAAAAACGCAUUUUUUUUGUUUUUUUCCUUCCGUGAGAGGCAUUGUUUUGCUUCCCCGAGAGGCACGGUUUUGCUUCCCCGAGAGGCACGGUUGUGAUUCCGGUAGAGGCACGACCAUGCCUCUUUCGAAAAGGGAAAAAACCAUGCUCUUGGUUCGGUUUUUUCGUCCUGUUUAUUCAUGAAGAAAAAGUUCGUUAAAACCUAUCAACAUGGUAUCUAGUUUUUAAGAUCUCGACGCAAGGAAUCGAACGGUGAAAACGGUUCGAGAUUUGGAUGCACGGUUUAAGAGAUAAAAUGUUUUCAAUAAACGGAUCUACAAAAAAAGAGAAAACUCACAUGUUGUGACAAAUGAUGCGUGCCAUUUGUCACAACCUGAGAAGGCGGUUGACACGAUAAACUCAAUUGGCAUUAAUGAUAGAGAUAGGGUAAGUGUCAUGUCUUUAUGUUCCUUCCAUGUUCAUGCUUCUUUUUUGGUGUUUCAAGUGCUAACUUGUUCUUUUGUUUGUAGGUCACUAUUGCAUAAAACUUAUUUCAAGGAGAAGAGAAGAAGACCAAGAAAAGGAAGGUCAAGAAAGGGAGACCAUUUGUGUUGGCCCGUUGCUACAAUGUGUUGAAGGAUGAAGAGAAAUGGAAGGCCCAUGAUGACCAAGAGGAGAGCAAGAAAAGCAAGGCAACUAUUGAUUUGGAUGAUGAGGAGGAGGAGGAGGCAUCUAGUGAUGGCGGCAGGAGAAGCCCUACACCAAACUCGGUUGCCUAGUCCGAACCAAAGAGACCAAAUGGAGGCAAGAAAGAUGCAAAAGAAAAGAAGAAGAAGAAGAAGAAGAAGAAAAAGAAGAAGAAGAAGAAGAAGAAGAAGAAGAAGAAGAAGAAGAAGAAGAAGAAGAAGAAGAAGAAGAAGAAGAAGAAGAAGAAGAAGAAGAAGAAGGAAGCAAACGAGGUGAGGAUGAUGACAAGGAGCCAAGAUGCGGCGGCCGAGGAGAGGAGGGUGGAUGCCGAGGAGAGGAAGGUGGCAUUGGAGGAGAAGAAAUUGGCCAUGGAGGAGCAAUCUAGAUUAUUGAAAUGGGAGAAGCACUUGUUCUUUAUGGACAGAUCUAAACUCGAUGAUAGGCAAAAGGAGUACGUCAUUCUUUCCCCUGAAGAAGUCUUGGUCCAAAAAAGAGCCAUGGCCAUGGGUGGCAUGGGUGGCUUUGGAGCUACCAUGGGAGGAAUGGGAGCACCUACGGGAGGCAUGGGUGGCUUCAGACAUACCAUGGGCGGCUGGGAGGCAUGGGUGUCUUCGGAGCUACCAUGGGAGGCAUGGGUGGCUUUAGAGCUACCAUGGGAGGCAUGAGUUUUGGGUCUCUCAUGAGAGGCACGGGUGCACAUCCGGGUGACAUGGGUGGACGCAUGUCUUCCGGUGUGCCUCACAUACCUUCGCUUUUUCCCAUUGGAGAUCUUAUGAACACCAUCCGAGCUCCCGAUGACGAUGCGGCGCUUGAAAAUGAAGAGGAGGAAGAAUCAUCUUCGGAUGAGGAGGAAGAAUCGGAGGAAGAAGAGGACGAUGAUGAGUGAUGUGGCAUGAUUGUUGAUGUGCCAUUUGUUUGUGCAAACUUUUAUUUGUCAUGAACUUGGUUGGGUGAUUUUGAACUAUGACAUGCAAGUGAACUAUGCUAUGUCUUUGUUUUGCACAUUUGUUUAAUGAUUGAAACAUCAUCAUAUAUACUGUCAAAUGGGCAUGUUAAAAUCAUAUUUGCAAGCGCCGGCUGCUCACACGCUCGGUAAAUUAGCGCGCCUUCUGGAGCUGCUCGCGCGUGCCAUAUUUUACUGCGGCUGCUGGAGCCAGCGCCUUGCUUCACGCAAUAAACGCCAUUUUGACGUUGUAAAAAAGUUUGUGCGGGUCGUGCGGUUGCGCACCUGUUAAAGAUGCUCUUAGAAUCGUGUUUUUACGGCGCCUAUGUGAUGCCCUAUUCUGCAAGAACUUGGAGUUGCGGUCGCCCCUCCGGCCGAUGCAUCACUUCUUCCCUGUCGUAGAGCUCAUGCAGGUCUUUUUCAAGCCACACCGAACCGAAGUCAGUACGUACGUGCCCAGUUCUGCACGUGCUUGGACACAUCUUUUAACCUGCUAGAAGGAGGCCCAUGAGUCCACUCUUGCCUGCGUCGUGCAUGCAUGUCCCNNNNNNNNNNNNNNNNNNNNNNNNNNNNNNNNNNNNNNNNNNNNNNNNNNNNNNNNNNNNNNNNNNNNNNNNNNNNNNNNNNNNNNNNNNNNNNNNNNNNNNNNNNNNNNNNNNNNNNNNNNNNNNNNNNNNNNNNNNNNNNNNNNNNNNNNNNNNNNNNNNNNNNNNNNNNNNNNNNNNNNNNNNNNNNNNNNNNNNNNNNNNNNNNNNNNNNNNNNNNNNNNNNNNNNNNNNNNNGGGCUCCCCGUUUUGCGGUUUAUUUUGCCACCGGUUUUCGAAAGGUUCUAGAACCUUCCCAAAACCGGUUUUUUGGUUUUUUAUGUUUUCUAUAUUAGUUUUCCGUUUUUAUUUUCUUUUAAAUGUUUACUUUCUUUUCUUAUUUUUUCUCUCAUUUUUUCUUUCUUUUUCCUUUUUCCUUUUCUUCUUUUUUUCUUUUACUUUUUACUUUCUUCAGUUUUUGACUAUUUUUGGCAAUUUUUAUUUUUGAAUUCGUUAACACCUUUUUUUCAUCGAAUUCUAGAAAUUUUCAACCAUGUAAAAAAAUGGUCAACAAUCCAGAAAAUGUUCAUCUAAUUCAAUUUUUUGUUCAUCAGAUUUAGAAAAUGUUCAUAAAAAUUCAAAAUUUGUUCAUCGAACUAAAAAAAUGUUCAUCGGAUUCUUUUUUUGUUCAUUGUUUUCAAAAAAUGUUCAUCACAUUCAAAAAAAAUUCACUAAAUUACAAAUCUGUUCAUCAAAUUCAAAUCUUGUUCAUAAUUUUUUCAAAAAAUUUCUUGAAUACAAAUUUUGUUCAUCAAAUAAAAAAUAUGUUCAUAAAAUGCCAAAUUUGUUUAUCGAUGUUCAAAAUAUGUUCAUCAAAUUCAAAAACAUGUACAUUCCUUCGAAAUAACGAACAUUUUUUGAAUUCAAGAAAUGUUUUGGAAUUUGGUGAACAUUUUUUAAUUCUGUCAGCAUUUAUCAUUUCACGAACAUUUUUUUCAAAUCAUCAACAAUUUUUUGAAUUCAUGUACAUUUCACAAGUUGUAGCUAUAUUGAAAUCCCGAAUUAGUCUUACAAUGGAAAACAAUUUAAAAAAAGCAAAAAAAAGAUGCUUCGGCUUUCCCUACCCACACAUGGGCUAGCCCAUAAGGCGGCGCGGGGGAGCGGGGGUUACGCGCUCCAUCGUUCGUUGGCGCAUACAGCGCUAAAUGGGAGGUCUCGAUGUAGCAUCUCAUUGAAUCCCGGACAUGGUCCAACCAUCUCUUCAAACCGAAAGCUGCCCAUAUGGUUCAUCAUCCUGGCGUCUGAAAUACUUUUGGAAAGACAAUUAUGGUUAGUUUUCGGAUAAGUACUCUCGAUAAUCUACAAAUAGGAGAUGUUUUAUUGUAUUUUGAUAACUUUUGGAUAGACAAUCAUUACUAUUAAUAUCAUCCUUCAUAUCUAGAUAAAGUAAGACAAUCUAUAAAUAGAAGAUUUUUAUUCUGUUUUGAUUAAAUUUGGAUAGACAAUUAUUAUUAUUAGUAUUAGCCUUCGUAUCUAGAUAAAUAUAAGGCAAUCUAUAAAUAGAAGUUUUUUUUCUGUUUUGACUACGUUUGGAUAAACAAUUAUUAUUAUUAGUAUCAUCCUUCAUAUCUAAAUAAAUAGAAGACAAUCUACGAAUAGAAGAAUUUUCAUUCUGUAGAAAAUUAUUAUUAUUAGUUCAGGAUUAAUACAUUUGAAAUGCCAUGUGAUAAAUGUGGUAAACGAUCGAUCCACACAUGAGGAAUAUAUCUAGACAUGGUUUAGUGUUAGAUACGUAAAUACCUUCGUAUUUAAUAAAUCUAAGCCAAUUUUUUGGGACGGAGGUAACAUAUAAAGAAGGGUCUCGCACUCAUGGGCAGAGCAGCACGGAGAGCAAAGUUGGCUUCCCUACGCAACGAUAACAAGGGUAGCUACCUCGCAAACCUGUGUGCACUCUGCAAGCAGUAGUCUCCAUAAUGUUGGCUUGCUGCUGCUUUGUUGUGUCCCAGCUGCUCAUCGUAAUAACGCUCAUAUACCUUGUCAUUACCAAGAGCAAGGUCUGAUGUGGCACGUGCUCAUCAGCGAUGGUGCCGCUUCCACUUCCGCCGGGGCCAUGGCUGUGGCCAGUGGUGGGUAGCCUGCCCGAGAUGGUGGUCAACAAGCCAGCGUUCCGUUGGAUCCAUCGCGUGAUGAAGGAUAUGGGCACCGACAUCGCCUACUUCCGCCUUGGCGGCGUCCACGUGGUCCCGAUCACAUGUCCCAAGAUCACAAGGGAGGUGCUCAAGAAGCAGGACAAAAACUUCUCAUCCCGCCCACUCACCUUCGCCUCCAGCGCCAUCAGCAGCGGGUACAAGGACGUCGUGCUCUCGCCGUUCGGCGACCAGUGGAUGAAGAUGUGCAAGGUGCUCACCUCUGAGAUCAUCUGCCCCUCCCGUCACAAAUGGCUCCAUGACAAGCGCGCCGACGAAGCUAACAACUUGACGCGCUACAUCUACAACCUCACCGCCGGGGAGUUGUCAUCUUCAACGUCGGGACUAGCCAACGUCAAUUUCAGGCACGUCGCGCGGCAUUACUGCGGCAACGUCAUCCGCCGGCUUGUCUUUGGCCAACGGUACUUCGGAGAGCCUCAGCCGAACGGCGGGCCGGGGCCAAUGGAGGUGGAGCACAUGGACGCUUCCUUCGCCCUCCUAGGGUUCACCUUCGCGUUCUGCGUCAGCGACUACCUCCCGUGUCUACUUGGCCUAGAUCUCGACGGCCACGAGAAAAUUAUUAAGGAGGCCAACACAAAAGUGGAUAGACUGCACGACGUGGUCAUCGAAGAGCGUUGGAGGCAGUGGAACAGCAGCGAGAGGCAGGACGGGGUCCAGGACUUCCUUGACGUUCUCAUCACGCUCGCCGACGGUGACGGCAAGCCGUUGCUCAACAUCGAUGAGGUCAAAGCACAAUAUAAGGUAAGCAAAUUAUUAAUUAAUGAGAAAUUUUAAGAUGGUUCAAGGGCCUAGAUUGAAUUUAGUGACCAAUUGCCUCAUAGUCCUACAAGGUACUAAUACGUCAUCCAUGACAAAAGGUAAUAGCUCACACUAUUAAAUACUAGAUCUUAUACCGUAUUUCGCAGGUGUUAGAAAAUGGAAACAAUAGAAUAAGAAAUUAUGAAUUAAUAGUUUAAACAUAGCAUUAUUGUAAUUUUCUACCAUUUUGAUGUGAUUUCAACUUGAAUUGUAUUUAAAUUUCCAAUUAUUCAAUGUAAUCUCUCUUUAUGCAAAGGUAUAGAUUGUAAUAACUUACAUUUAUCUCCAUGGAAUGCAUGCAGGGCAUAAUAUUAGCGGCCAUAGAUAACCCGUCAAACGCAGUGGAGUGGGCGCUGGCGGAGAUGGUGAACAACCUAGAAUUGCUGGCCAAGGCAGUGGAGGAGAUGGACCGGGUGGUCGGUCGCGAGCGACCGGUGCAAGAGUCAGACAUCAUGCAGCUCAACUAUCUCAAGGCGUGCAUACGUGAGGCAUUUCGCCUCCACCCAAUCGCUCCCUUCAACCUGCCGCACAUCGCGAUUGCAGACACCAUUGUUGCGGGCUACCGUGUGCCCAAGGGUAGCAACGUCAUCCUCAGCCGGCUGGCCCUGGGCCGGAACCCCACCGUCUGGGAUGAACUGCUCCGCUCCAAGCCAGAGCGCCAUAUGGGAGACAACAUCAAUGUGGUGCUCUUUGGCAGGCUCCUGCAUGGCUUCACCUGGACCAAACCGGCUGGGGUGUCGGCCAUCAAUCUCAGCGGGUCCAAGCACGACCUCUUCGUAGAGAAGCCGCUAGUGCUACAUGCUGAGCCACGUCUUCCAGUGCACCUCUACCCUCUCAUGCAUUGUUGAGCAAAUAACGAGCUAUGAAUCACCGAUAUGGCGAGUAUGCUAGCUAUUUUUUUAUGAAUCUAUACUUACUAAUAAAGGAAGGAAAUAUUCUUUUUUCGUCUCGCUUUGUUUCGUUCCACUUCGAUUGAUUUUCACAUAUGCUAGCUAUUUUGGUUUUGUCUGUUUCACGUACGAGCGAGCCGGUUUCUUUCAUGCGCCGAUGGAUCGUCCUAGGCUUGUCCAAAGCAUUGGAACAGUACGUGAUAGCCAAACAACCACCCAUCUAGUAUUAAUUUUGGACAAAUAGAGAUUAAAUGUAUACAAGAUGAUGCUCUUAAUAUCACCAACGAAGGAUGAAAGUAGGUCGGCGCAUAUAGGGCAACUCUAUUUGAGUUGUUUCUUCCGGCCCAAGUCCCAGGCGGGGUAACAGAGCAGCCUAUAAUAGUCUUUCUAUUUUGGUUCAUCAAUUAAAUAGUACCACAUAGUUUUCUUACUUUUAAUCCUACAAGUUUAUAUACGGUAGCAAAUUGCCAUGGGAAUCAAUAAGCAGCCUAAAAAACAUUAAAAAAAACUCAGAGAGUGAGGUAUGCAAUGAGGACGCUGCUACCUCUUGAGCACUUCGUUGGCUUUCCCUUGAAGAGGAAUGGGUGAUGCAGCAAAGUAGCGUAAGUAUUUCCCUCAGUUUUUGAGAACCAAGGUAUCAAUCCAGUAGGAGGCUACGCGCGAGUCUCUCACACCUACACAAAACAAAUAAAUCCUCGCAACCAACGUGAUAAGGGGUUGUCAAUCCCUACACGGUCACUUACGAGAGUGAGAUCUUAUAGAUAUGAUAGGAUAAUAUUUUUGGUAUUUUUAUGAUAAAGACGCGAAGUAAAAUAAAAGCAAAGGAAAUAACUAAGUGUUGGAAGAUUAAUAUGAUGAAGAUAGACCCAGGGGCCAUAGGUUUCACUAGUGGCUUCUCUCAAGAGCAUAAGUAUUUUACGGUGGGUGAACAAAUUAUUGUUGAGCAAUUGACUGAACUGAGCAUAGUUAUGAGAAUAUCUAGGUAUGAUCAUGUAUAUAGGCAUCACGUCCGAAACAAGUAGACCGACUCCUGCCUGCAUCUACUACUAUUACUCCACACAUCGACCGCUAUCCAGCAUGCAUCUAGAGUAUUAAGUUCAUAAGAACAGAGUAACGCCUUAAGCAAGAUGACAUGAUGUAGAGGGAUAAAUUCAUGCAAUAUGAUAAAAAAAACCACCUUGUUAUCCUCGAUGACAACAAUACAAUACGUCCCUUGCUGCCCCUACUGUCACUGGGAAAGGACACCACAAGAUUGAACCCAAAGCUAAGCACUUCUCCCAUUGCAAGAAAGAUCAAUCUAGUAGGCCAAACCAAACUGAUAAUUCGAAGAGACUUGCAAAGAUAACCAAUCAUACAUAAAAGAAUUCAAAAUAUUCAAAUAUUGUUCAUAGAUCAACUUGAUCAUAAACCCACAAUUCAUCGGUCUCAACAAACACACGGCAAAAGAAGAUUACGACAAAUAGAUCUCCACGAGAGAGGGGGAGAACAUUGUAUUGAGAUCCAAAAGGAGAGAGGAAGCCAUCCAGCUACUAACUAUGGACCCGAAGGUCUGAGGUAAACUACUCACACUUCAUCGGAGAGGCUAUGGUGUUGAUGUAGAAGCCCUUCGUGAUGGAUGCCCCCUUCGGCGGAGCUCCGGAACAGGCCCCAAGAUGGGAUCUCGUGGGUACAGAAGGUUGCAGCGGUGGAAUUAGGUUUUUGGUUUCGUAUCUGAUCGUUUGGGGUGCGUGGGUAUAUAUAGGAGGAAGAAGUACGUCGGUGGAGCAACGUGGGGCCCACGAGGGUGGAGGGCGCGCCCCCGUACCUCGUGGCUUCCUGGAAGCUUCUCUUACAUAGGGUCCAACUCUCCUGGAUCAUGUUCAUUCCGAAAAUCACGUUCCCGAAGGUUUCAUUCCGUUCGGACUCCGUUUGAUAUUCUUUUUCUGCGAAACUCUGAAAUAGGCAAAAAACAGCAAUUCUGGGCUGGGCGUCCGGUUAAUAGGUUAGUCCCAAAAAUAAUAUAGAAGUGAAUAAUAAAGCCCAAUAAUGUCCAAAACAGAAGAUAAUAUAGCAUGGAGCAAUCAAAAAUUAUAGAUACGUUGGAGACGUAUCAAGCAUCCCCAAGCUUAAUUCCUGCUCGUCCUCGAGUAGGUAAAUGAUAAAAACAGAAUUUUUGAUGCGGAGUGAUACUAGGCAUAAUUUCAAUGUAACUUUUCUUAAUUGUGGUAUGAAUAUUCAGAUCCGAAAGAUUCAAGAUAAAAGUUCAUAUUGACAUAAAAAUAAUAAUACUUCAAGCAUACUAACUAAGCAAUUAUGUCCUCUCAAAAUAACAUGGCCAAAGGAAGUUCAUCCCUACAAAAUCAUAUUGUUUAGUCAUGCUCCAUUUUCGUCACACAGGAAUGCUCGCAUCAUGCACAACCCCGAUGACAAGCCAAGCAAUUGUUUCAUACUUUAGUAAUCUCAAACUUUAUAAACCUUCACGCAAUACAUGAGCGCGAGCCAUGGACAUAGCACUAUGGGUGGAAUAGAAUAUGAUGAUGGGGGUUAUGUGGAGAAGACAAAAAAGGAGAAAGUCUCACAUCAACGAGGCUAAUCAAUGAGCUAUGGAGAUGCCCAUCGAUUGAUGUUAAUGCAAGGAGUAGGGAUUGCCAUGCAAUGGAUGCACUAGAGCUAUAAAUAUAUGAAAGCUCAACAAAAGAAACUAAGUGGGUGUGCAUCCAACUUGCUUGCUCACGAAGACCUAGGGCACUUGAGCAGGCCCAUUGUUGGAAUAUACAAGCCAAGUUCUAUAAUGAAAAAUUCCCACUAGUAUAUGAAAGUGACAAAACAAGAGACUCUCUAUCAUGAACAUUAUGGUGCUACUUUGAAGCACAAGUGUGGUAAAGGAUAGUAACAUUGUCCCUUCUCUCUUUUUCUCUCAUUUUUUGGGCCUUCUCUUUUUUUAUGGCCUUUCUCUCUCUUUUUUUUAUUCCUCACUUGGGACAAUGCUCUAGAAAAUGAUGAUCAUCACACUUCUAUUUAUUUACAACUCAAUGAUUACAACUCGAUACUAGAACAAGGUAUGACUCUAUAUGAAUGCCCCCGGCGGUGUACCGGGAUAUGCAAUGAACCAAGAGUGACAUGUAUGAAAGAAUUAUGAACGGUGGCUUUGCCACAAAUACUAUGUCAACUACAUGAUCGUGCUAAGCAAUAUGACAAUGAUGAACGUGUCAUGAUAAACGGAAUGGUGGAAAGUUGCAUGGCAAUAUAUCUCGGAAUGGCAUGGAAAUGCCAUAAUAGGUAGGUAUGGUGGCUGUUUUGAGGAAGAUAUAAGGAGGUUUAUGUGUGAAAGAGCGUAUCAUAUCACGGGGUUUGGAUGCACCGGCGAAGUUUGCACCAACUCUCAAUGUGAGAAAGGGCAAUGCACGGUACCGAAGAGGCUAGAAAUGAUGGAAGGGUGAGAGUGUGUAUAAUCCAUGGACUCAACAUUAGUCAUAAAGAACUCACAUACUUAUUGCAAAAAUCUACAAGUCAUCAAAAACCAAACACUACGCGCAUGCUCCUAGGGGGAUAGAUUGGUAGGAAAAGACCAUCGCUUGUCCCCGACCGCCACUCAUAAGGAGGACAAUCAAAGAACACCUCAUGUUUCAAAUUUGUUACAUAAUGUUUACCAUACGUGCAUGCUACGGGACUUGCAACCUUCAACACAAGUAUUUCUCAAAUUCACAACUACUCAACUAGCACGACUUUAAUAUCACUACCUCCAUAUCUCAAAACAAUCAUCAAGUAUCAAACUUCUCUUAGUAUUCAACACACUCAUAAGAAAGUUUUUACAAAUCUUGAAUACCUAGCAUAUUAGGAUUAUUUAAGCAAAUUACCAUGCUAUUUAAGACUCUCAAAAUAAUCUAAGUGAAGCAUGAGAGAUCAAUAGUUUCUAUAAACACUACAAAAAAAUACACUUUCGUGAUGAUACGUGUUUGUCACAGUAGGUCACGUUUUUUGUCAUGCAUGUACAUCCAUGAUGAUUUUAUGACAGAAUCAAGAUAGUCAUACCUGUGCUGUCGUAGAAGUGUUCCGUGACAUUACCAAAAUUAUCAUCACGGAAGUGUCCACUUCCAUGACGAUAAAUCGCGCGUCACAGAAGUGCCUUCGUCAAGGGUGACCGACACGUGGCAUCCACCGUAACGGAACGCCGUUAAGCUAUCGGGUCGGGUUUUGGACCCGAUAACCCGUUAACAGCCCCAACCAAUGGGGAUUUUCCACGUGUAAAAUCAUCAUUGGCUGGAGGAAACACGUGUCGGCUCACCGUUGGGACAGAUGUCAUCCACUCAUUGGACCGAAGGCGCCUAUGAUACGGCGACACGUGGCACGGCCCAACAGAGGCCCAUUCCUGUGAAAAGGCCGGCCCGUUUGACUUGGUCAAAAGGUGGCGGGCCGGCCCACGGAAAGCCUGUUAACGGCAUGUUCGCAUAUAGCCCAUUUACAGCCCGCUAACCCAGGGCCCAUUACGCCCUAUCCGAAUUAGGCCCAGUAGCGUCAUCUGGGCCGUCCAAUAUGAUUCAGCCCGUUUUAACUUCCGGCCCAUAUGUGGCCCAUGACUUCUUUCGGCCCAUAUGAGGACCUUUGUAACUCUUGGCCCAUUAACGGCCCGUGGUGAAACUGGCCCGUAAUGAACAGUGUAUCACUUUAUACCCAUUAACGGCCCGUUAUUCCAUUAGGUCGUUUCCAGCCCAAGUUAUCUUUCAGCCUUCUUAGGGCCCAUUGAUUCUUGGGCUCAUUUGCAGCAUUUGGUUACAUACGGCCCGUUACUGUCAUUUUCUGCUUGUGGGCCAAAUUCAGCCCGUCGUUACAGUCGGCCCGUUUGCGGACCGUUAAUACGUUGGGCCGUUUUCAUGUCAAAAAAACCCAUUGGGUUGUUUUCAUAGAGUUAUCAAAUACGGCCUAUUAACGGCCUGUUAUGGUCCAUGAAUAGUACGGCCCAUGAUUGGCGAAAUGAUGAUACGCCCCAUAGAAGGCCCAUGGAUAGUACGGCCCGUAGAAAGCCCAUGGAUCAUACAGCCCGUAGAAGGCCCAUGGACCCUAAGGCCCGUAUAGAAGGCCGAUGGAUCCUACGGCCGGACGAAGGCCCAUGGAUCAUACGGCCUGCAGGAGGCCCAUGGUUACAACAGUCUGUGUGUUGCCAUGAUUAUUUUGGCCUAGUUACCAAAAAUAGGCUAUUGUGGCCACUAGAAAAAAACAGAAAAAGAACUGCAGUGACUACAAGCAAACAACUAAACAAGACAAUAAGGAAAUAAAUAAGCAAGCAAUUAACGCUAGCCUAUUACCGCUAUUACACAUAUUACAUCCACUAGGCAUCAAAGUUCGCCACCAGUGCAAAUAUAGGGAACAAAGCAGCACAUUACAUACACUGGCCGUCAAAAUUGGCCACCAGUGCAAAUAAACAUGGCAGCAAAACAAGAGCAUAACUGAAACAACUUCAGAAGAGAUUAAGAAACAUUAUCCUGGGUAUCCACCAUGCUGGCAAUAAGCUUAGCAAGCUGAUUAGCUUUGUCCUGUUUGGCGCUAAAAUCCUCCAACGCUUGCUGUUGCACCAGAAAGUAUGCAUCUGAAUGCUCCAGGGACUUCCGCAGUCCUUCCGCUUCUUGUCGCAGCACAGCUGAUCGAUGUCUUUCAGCUUGUAGUUGAGACUCAAGAAACCGAACUGAUUCAGACAGUGAGUGUGAAUAGCUUGUGCAAGCGGUAGUGGCCAGUAACUCGAACACUAAACCAAGACAGGACUUUGGGGUUGUCUCGCUGUCUUCAAGAUAGUCUUCCUUAGCUGUUUUAUCAGCUUUGUUGGAGACCAACAAGGAUGUGUCACUAUCCUGAACCUUAUCUGCAUUACUUCCUUUACCAUUGCUUAAUAAGGCACUCUUCCCCAAUAUUCUGUCAGCAUUCUAAAAGAAGAAACAAGCAGACACAUAACAAGUUUAGCAUGUACUAGUAUAUGAAACUCAUUUCGGUGAACCAGUUCAUUAGUAAGGUGGACAGGAUUAAACUACCAAGUCUUCUAUUGCCAAGUACUAGUACAAAAUAAAAGCAUCAAACAAACAUAUAUCUAUGUCCUAUGGUCACUGCAUUGUCUUGCCAAAUCAAAAUAGAGACACGGUUCAAAUCAUAUCAGUUCAAGACAAAGCAGCAGUGAAAGAAUACAAAGCGUGGGAAACUACACGGCACAACGAGAUUUCAGAUGGGUACCACGGGUCUACAUGUACAACAACACUAUUGGCUCUGUUGUGAUGCUAGUAAUGUGCAUGAUAUGAAAGUCAAUUGUAUACACAAUUGAAAUUGAAAUCAAUAGAGCUAUUGAUAAGAGCAAACCUGUUAAAGAAACAUGCGUGAACAUACCUGCUGUGCCAUUGGAGUUUCGAUUGGAUCCUUCAAUUUCAAAAUAAGUUUGUAUGAGUAAAUACAGUGAUACAAGAGCAAAGCAAUCAUAGUUAAAAAAGGCGCGCCUAAGCGAGCGCUUAAGCGCGCCUAGGCUCUAGGCGUUGGCAAAACGCAUUGCGCAUAACUACACAUAAUCUGUGCAUAAGCAUGCGCUUUGGUCAGUAAAGCGCAGGGAGGUGGAAAAAUGCACAAUUAACGCCUAGCGCUUUUUUGAACUAUGAUAGCAAUGGAAUCUUAAAUUAGAACAGUUGUUCUUCAGGUUUAGGCACUUGUUCUACAUGAACAGAGUACAGUAAGACGCAAGAAUAUAAUACUUAAAAUAGAAAAUGAGCUCAUAGACCUUACCACAUUCUUGGUUCGGGACCAGUACAGAGCAAGGCGUUCCCAGUCAUCGUCCAGUAAAUGUGUCUUAGGAGAACGUAAGGGAAUUUGAUGAGUUUCUUUGCCGGUGAAGUACGUUUUCUUCAGGUAAUUCUGAUACUGCCACCAAGCAUUCUUGAAGAUAGCAGAGGUAUUAGCACAGGUUACCUCAUCCUGAGUUUCCAAAUCGGUCCUUCUCUAUAGAGAAAAUGGGAAAAUUUGCUGUAUUAUAACCAUCAUGGAGGUAGGAUGUAUGGGACGAAGCAAAGUAAUUGCCAUGAAUAACAUUACUUACACAUAACUCCUGGACAAACACCUGCAACUGGCAUUUUCCUUCAUCUUCAGUAUAAUAUUUCCAAGAUGGGAAGAUACACACAUACGAUUUAACAACAUCAAAUGCAAUAGAUGCUAAACUACGGCUAGCUGGUUGUGCUUCCUCCACAGGAAUAGGCAUACUAACUGGUGGAGUUGGGGUUCGCCGUGAUAGUACUGGCCCUUUGGGCACUGGAGCUGCCUUACUAACUGCUCUUGUUUGGGAGCUCUGUGGUGGAGAUGGUGCUGUGUCAACAGGAACUGGGUUACUAUCGGCUGGGGUUGGGGUUAGAUUGGGUGAAGCUGGUUCUCUGUCCAUCGCAGUAGGGGUACAAUCUACGAGAGUUUGGGUUAUGUGUGGUAGGGCUGGUUCUUGUGCAUGUACAACCGGGGUGCUAUCUCCACCAAGAGGUAGCACUAUUUUAUUUGAAGACCGUGUUUUUAGUCCGCUAGAUACUGGCAUCACCCGCUCCAAUUCAAAUGGCUGAUAAACAGGAAACAUAGUUGAAUGCAUAGACAUUGUAUGAGAGACAGAUGCAAUAUAUAGUGUGGAGAAAACAGGGCAUGAAAUAGUUGACAUGUAUAUUGUUUAACUAAAACGGAUAGCAUGACAUAAUUUCACAUAUAUGAUGUCUAUCUAAACUGGAUGGCAUAGCAUAACAUAAUUCAAAGAUAUGAUGAAUAACUAAACAGGAUCGCAUGACAUAAUUCACCUACAUGUUAUCUAAGUAAUCAGGAUCACAUCAUUUAAUUCACAUAUGUGAUUUAUAUGCUAAACAGAGGGCAUUCGAUGUGAUGUCUGAACUAAGAACAUGGUGUUCAAUAUUGUGUAUAUGAUGUCUAAACUAUGCAAUGCAAGACACCGUAUGCAUGAUAUGAGCAGUAUAACCGUGCCAAGUUAGAGCAUACACCUCAGUGGGGGAAUAGGACUGGUCAUCUGUAUCUGAAUCCAUCUCUGAGGAGCUAUCGGGACCCAACAAGAGAUCUGCUUCGACAGGUAGCACUGUCUGCUCUGAAGGCCUUGUUUUCACUCCAGAUUUUUCCAUCUCCCACCCAAAUGGCUGAUUCACAGGAAGAGUAGUUUAAUGUACAAACAUUGUCAACAAAUGGAAAUGUAAUGAAGAAAAGGAUGGGCAAGAUAUCAUUCAAAUAUAUGAUGCCUGGUUAAACAGGAUGGCAUUGCACAUUUCACAUAUAUUAUGGCUGGCUAAAAGACAUGAGACUGCAUAAUUCCCAUAUAUGAUAUAGAAACUAAACAGGUGGCAUUACAGAACAUGUCUAAACUAAGCAAAUGACAUAUAUGAUGUCAAAAGUAGGCACUGCAAGGCAACAUAUGCAUGAUAUGACUAACAUCAUCAUGCCAAGGUAGAGCAAACACCUUGGGGGUAAAUAGGAGUGGUCAGCGGCGUCUGAAUCCGCCUCAGAACAGAUAUCUUCCUCUGGAUUACAAUCUGGAGAGGGGUGGGGAGGGUCUGCCAUUGAACCCACCAUGGAGCGAUGUUUGCAUGACAUUGUAUUGCCGCGCAAAACUCUUCUCUUUUUCUCUACAUGUUCAGCAUGACUGUGUACAAUAUCUGACAUGCAUACGAAAAAAUAUGGUGAAAUUAUGUAAGGAGAGCAUGCAGAAAUUUAGAGUGAUGGUAACAACCAGUGGAUCGACGUUUUUCCGUUGAACCAAAAUAGCCCUAAUGGAUCGACGUGAAUGUAUAGUAAUAAGUGAUGCAACAAGUGUACAACCUCUUUGCCGUAGCCGUGUCGACCUCAACAUCAUUGGGUUGGUCGCUGAAGCAGUUGAGGCAGAGGUGGCUGUCGGAGGUGUGGAGGAAGAUCUGAGGAAUCUGUAGACGGCGUCCAGGGCACUGCUCUGUUGUGAUGGAUCGUUCUGUCGUUGGAGCAGCUCCGGUGAGCCGUAAGACGUCAAGGCUGAAGCAGCACAAGACAGACAUCGUCAAUCUCAAGUGGGAUUCUAAUAGCAUCUCCAAUAGAUGAUGUAAAAUGGAUGUAAAAUUAACAUCACCAAAAACCACCUGACUACAACAGAUGAGGUAAAAACUGUUGACUCUGAACUUAACUGUCGAAACUGAAAUUUACUGUGGAAUCUGAAUGCUACUGUCGAAACUGAACGCAAUGGUAGCAGAGAGGCACUUGACAUGUAGUUUAGGGAGGGCAUGCGGUUCAUCUUCAACCUGCACCCCCCUGAGCCGCCAGCCACCACCGGCCGAACCACCGGCCCCAGCGCCGCCUCGCCGCCCCGAAACAACUCGCCACCGCCGCCCCGGCCAGCCCUCUAGGCCCCCCCACCCUGAACCCUAAGAUAGAUAGUGGGGUACCUCUUCGGCGAGCCCCCGUCCCCACUGCGGGUNNNNNNNNNNNNNNNNNNNNNNNNNNNNNNNNNNNNNNNNNNNNNNNNNNNNNNNNNNNNNNNNNNNNNNNNNNNNNNNNNNNNNNNNNNNNNNNNNNNNNNNNNNNNNNNNNNNNNNNNNNNNNNNNNNNNNNNNNNNNNNNNNNNNNNNNNNNNNNNNNNNNNNNNNNNNNNNNNNNNNNNNNNNNNNNNNNNNNNNNNNNNNNNNNNNNNNNNNNNAGUCAAUUCAGUUGACUGAAGUGUGGCUUAAUCGGAGCAGAGCAGCAGCACGAGCGAGGGGGAGAGCAGCAGCAGCAGCUGGGCGAGCGAGCGAUCGAGCGAGAGCCGGAGCAACAGCAGCAGCGCGAGCGAGCGAGAGCCGGAGCAGUAGCAGCAGAUCCGGCUGGUAUGGACGCUGCCGUCGAAGGGGCCUUGCACUGGGGGAGAGCCGCCGUGGAGAUGUCGCCCGCGGCGCCGGCUUCAAGGUAGCCGCUCCAUGGGGGUGCGGGAUGGAGCACCGUUGGCACCGGGAGGUCGAGUUCAGGAGAAGGUGUGAUGCGAUGAGUGUACAACCUCUAUGGUGGCGCCGAGUAGGCCUCGGCUUCGUCCGAGGAGUCGGUGAGGAUGCUGCGGUUCUGGUGGAGCAGGUUAAGGCGGCGCUGUGGGGAUGGAGCAGCCGCGAUAGACGAGGCGAUCGUCAGAGCAGCUCCUUGGAGGUGGAGGACGGGCCGGCUGAACCGGCGGGAUGGCGAGAUGGACGACGGAUCCUCAUCCGGGGAGGUGGACGAGGGACGUCGAGCUGUUGCGGUGGACGACGUCAUCGGGGAAGAGGCUCCGGCUGUGCAGCGGUGACGUGGCGGACGGAGGAGGGUGGGGUUUCGUGGCUGGAGCGGAGAGGUUAUGGUGGCCUGGGAUUUCGAAUGGCAAAAAGGGGGCGAUGGGAGGGGGUGAAGCAUGACUUAGGGACGCGCUUGUCCAAAAUGUAGGGUGUGUUACAAAAGUACCCCCCACCGAUUUGAACUAGCGGCCCUUUCAGCUCAGGGUUAGAAGGGGGAUUUCGCGUGUCGGGAUUUGGCAGCUGGAGGGAGUUUUCGCGCGCGUUGUAAUUUCGGGAUAGCAAGGUGCGGGUUGUGAAGGCGCCAGUUUUGGGAGCACGAUAUCUGAAUUUUCGGGAUAUAAAAAGACGCAGGUUGAAUUUUAGGGACAAGCCUAACAUGCAGUAAUAUUGUACUUGUACGUACCAAAUCAAUUCGCACUUCCCUCAACCAAAAAGAAAACAAAAAAAAAUAAAACUAUUCACACCGCACAAAGAGAGAGUCUUGCCCCGUUUUACUAUACAAAUGCUAUUCAAAGCUACUCCCUCCUUCCAUCUAUAUAGGGCCUAAUGUGUUUUUCGAUGCUAACUUUAACCAAAUAUUAGAGCAAUGAUAUAUGACAUGCAACUUACACAAAGCACACCGUUAAAUUCGUCUGUGAAAGGUUCUUUCAAUGAUAUAAUUUUCACAUUGUGCAUGUCAUGUACUAUUAAUCUUGUCAAUAGUCAAAGGCGGUCUUAAAAAUCUCAUUACGCCCUAUAUAGAUGGAAGGAGGGAGUAUGAAUCCAUGUUAUGUCCGAUUAAAUUUUUUCGCUUGCUGUAUAAUGCAUGUAACCUACUCAUACCAACAUUUUAGUGCAUUCCAAAUGUCUAUACUACCGCUGCAAUUCGAACUAAAUUUGAAUUCGUUUCUCUAUUUCAAUAAGAAUCUACAAUCAUGAUUGUUGCCAACUUCAACCAUCAUAGUUUCCUUGCUAUCCGCCAGAUAUAAAUCGGACGGCCUAUAAUGCAGGAUGGCAGGCACACCAUCGUCAAAACUCCGUUUUUUAUAAGAGUAGAGAUAAAAUAUAUUAAAUGUAGUAUAACAUGUUCAUAACCACACCAUGUGUAUCACCGUUAUAUAUAUUCACACAUGCGUCGGUUUGAAACACUAUGAUAAAUUCUUCAAAUAUCUGAAUUCGCUUUUUAUAAUGAAGUAUAUAUGAUCUCUAUUCGUCUUUUACACCCACACAACCCUCUUAUCUUUGUCGCUAGCGCUAACUUUCUCUUGUGCAUGCACACGCCCGCAUCCCUCUCACCCUCCCUCAGCAUUCUCUAGCUCCAUCGCGCAAAUUCGUCUUUUCACUUUAGGUCGUUCACCCACGGUGUGUGUAGGCCCCCCAGCUCCUUCUUUACGGCACACAUCGAUCGAUAUGCCUCUCUAGCCAGGUGUGCCUAGCACAAACACAAGCUUCCCCUCUUCUCUUGUCACCGUCCAUGCCUCACUCCCACCACUCUUUUCAUCGUUCUCGUACUCGCACACUCCUCCCCCCUCGAUAUAGUAUGCCUCUCGUACCACCUCCUACAUGCAUCCCUCUCUCUCUCUAUCCUUCUCCUCGUGCCUCAUUUGCUUCUAACACACACAUGCAUGUAUACCGAUCGAUCUCCCAACAUAUACCUAGAUCGACUUUAACUACCCCCCCAUCGAUCGACGUACCUCACAAGUUAUGUCUCUCCUUUCUCUAACAAAGGGCGAUUGAUCUUCCUAUGUAGUUACGUCUGCUUACCACAGCCACAUCGUCCCCCCUCAUCAUUCAUGCAUGCCUCCUGACCCGUCUCUCACACGCACGUGCACAGACAACAAGCAGCCAUCUCCUCUCUUAUUGAUAUUGCGGGCGUGCCCUCCGUUUGUCUAGCAAGCCUAUCCCACCAUUUGUUAGAAGCAACUCCACUACCACCCCCUCCAACACUCUAGCUCUGUCUCUCUCCCAACCUUAUUCCUCUCCUGCACAUAUGCAUGGAUGUCGAUCGAUCUCCCUUAAUACAUGAGGCAGAUCGAUCUCCUUAAUACAUGAGAUAGGCCUCUCUCCUCCUCCACACAUAUACCAGCCAUUGUACCUCUAUAGUUAAUUGGGCCUCCCUCUUCUCCCACCACACACCGAUAGUCGAGCGCUGCAGGUAGGUAUCCAUGCCACAGAGACAAACUGCACAUGUCCCAUCUCACGUUCCAGUAGGCCAGCCACUCUAUAUCUUUGACGUGGGCACACACAAAUUCGAUGGCACUCUUUAUCAAUCGCGCGCGCACACACACACAUCAUCCCUCUCUUCGAUUCUAUGGACACCUCAAGCCGAUGAUACCUCCACUCUCUUCUCGUGGAUCGCCCCCUCUAUAUAUAUGUUAUAUCCAGGACUCUAUUUCACACACAUUGCAUCUGUUACAUUUUUUGAUUGACCCCCCCCCCUAAAAAAACUCUCAAGAACCCACACACUAUAUCUCUCUAGGUUUGUAUCUCUCUCACACAACCCCAUGUAGGUGGUGUACGUAUACAAGAAGAGAAUAGGUGCACCGUGCAUGUACUCACGCUUCGUGCCCAGCCACACCCGCGCGGGUACACGAUGGAGCUCAUUUCUUUACGAAAUGGCAGCCCACGUGCUAAUUUGAACGCCUGUAGCGGUUGUUUACCUAGGGAGGUCGUGUACCACGCGUGCACGAAACAAAGUUCGACUUGACGCGUUGCCGCGUUAUUUUUAAAUAAAGUUAUAGCGCUCAAUGGCACGUACACAGAAUAUAAAACGAUUUUUAUGGAGAAAAAGGUAGUCCGCUCACUAUAUACAAUGGAGCCUACCUGCAUGGUUUGUCGCUCUUCAGAGUAUCUCACACAAGGUUGCGGUGGCCUCUCUCUCUCUCUCACCGUUGGUCACUGAUCCGGCCGCAUCUCGUCCGCCGGGGGAAAGGGAGGAAGUGCAUCGUUUCUCCGUUUGACGGCACCGAGGCAGCACGUCCCGAUCUGCGGUACACGCCGUUCUCUCUGAUCAAGCUCCGGCGCGGCAGGGCCUAUGCCACCUCCUCGCAGAUUCCGCCCGCCGCCGCUCACCUAGUUACAUCCCGACGACCUCCAGGUAUCCCCUCCGGCCUUGCUCCACUGCCCGUCUUCCCACGUCGCUGCAUGUGGAUCUUCCAUAGUUCUUUGCUCAAAACGUAGCUCGUCCGGCGUACUUUCCAUAUUGCAUUCUCGUCCUCACACCGUUUUAGACAAACACAACCGUGUUGUUAUCUUCCCUUAGGACAAGGAAUAUGCUUCUUUUUUGUCGUCGCAUGUGUCAUCAACUGUUAUUGGCCAGUAAUUGUUUCCUUUCUACUCGUUGCUAUUGCGACCUUUUGGUGAACUGCAUAAAUCACUUUUUUCUUAAGAGUGUUUUGUGCAGUUGUACUAAAAUGUCACACGGGCAACGUCUCUACGUUUCAGUGCGACUGCACAAAGGGAGAUUGGUUUUGCUCUAUCCUCCUCAUCCAACUCCGAGCCUAAUCUUCUCCAACUAGUUAGUCUUAAGAGAGACUGCAAAGGUGACCGGCUUCUAUUUGUGUGUUUAUUGUUUCAUCAGCAGUCCUCUAUUAUCGUAAUCACACAUAAUAUCUUUGGAACAGGGACGCUCAGCUCUAUUUUAGUGGAACUGCACAAAAUGAUCGGAAUGUUGCAUGCUCCAGAUAGCUACUUUUUUCCCAACAUGCCUUGUUGAUUUAGACAGAGCUGGGGGGACGUUGCUGCCAAUGAAAGCAUGGAUCAAUUUUAAUUUAACACCUUCUCACAACUCUGUCUUCAGUUGUGAUGUAAUUAUUAGCUCUGAUCUGCUAAUAAUGGACAUGCAAUAGCAAGGAAGUUAGUUUUUUAUUGUUUCCGAAAGAGCAUCGAUGGCAAGACACGCGAAACAAAAGUUGAAAGCUCACACCAUUGUACAAUUUCAUGUCGCUGGAAAAUUAUUUGUAUAGUACGUCAAUUAUGUAAACAAAUGAUGGAAGCUUGAUAGCAUUACCAGAAGCCUCUUCAUCAUCCGGGUCCAUGUGCCAUGCACAAAAUUAUACUCCUUCGUUCCUAAAUAUUUGUCUUUUUACAAAUUUCAAACGGGCAUAUUUUAGAGUGGAGAUUCACUCAUUUUGCUUCGUAUGUGUACUCCCACCGUUCCUAAAUAUUCUAUUCGUCUUUCUAGAGAUUUCAACAAGUGACUACAUACGGAGCAAAAUGAGUGAAUCUACACUCUAAAAUAUGUCUAUAUACAUCCGUAUGUGCCAGUCCAUUUGAAAUCUCUAAAAAGACAAAUAUUUGAGUAGUCACUCGUUGAAAUCUCUAGAAAGACAAAUACUCUGGAGUAUAUUUAAGAACCGAGGGGGUAGUGCACAACCGCAUGGGAGACUCAGCCCGGUUGUUGCGCCGCAUUAAUAGUGAGUAAUGAGCAGUCAAAUCAUAAGCACCACCUUUCCCACUGUAAGUUGCUCUGAAGAAGCAACCAUCAAUACGCUCUUCUUUGAAUCCGCUCAUACUACUCCAUCCGUCACUGUUUAUAGAGCGCGCUUCAGAAAAAAGAAAAAAAAUCUGUGGGACCAAGGCGACUAGCGAUCGGCCUGAAAAAUAGCAUUGGUAGUUAUAGCACGGUGUCUAUUACUAGAGGGAAUAAUGCGUACACACAUGCAUGCAGUGCUUCCACCCCGGGUACACACAUGCAUGCACUUACUCCACUCAGUAGUAGUACAGUACAUGGAGAGAAAAUUGUGGACUUGAUUGCGGUUACCACGCCCUAAUUAAUUGAGCAUUAAACCAAACGCGUCUAAAGUCUCUCUGGUGGUGGAAAUGCAUUGAGAGAAAUGCAUCAUAAUGAAGCGCGCCCUGUAAACUGUGACGGAGGGAGGAGUAGUAUGAAGGUGCAAAACCAAGUACGCGUAUGGCCAGUCGGUCAAUGCACCUCCUCUUGGCAUAUCACAGACAUGUGGGACAGGAGUGUGAGCAAACCGAUCUCAAUUGACGGCAAAGAGCCAACCUGCCGUUCCUUGAGAGAGACGAGGAGCGAGAACACAUAGACGGGCUCGCACUGAGGCCAAGAUAUAUUCGAGCAUGGUUGGUUGAUCGAUAUCAUUCAUUACAUGUUGGGCUGCCGUUUUCCGCCCUUCUCUGGAAUAAACGUGUACUUUAUCAGAGAUAAAAAAAUAAGAGUACAGACGCUCCACCAUGCGGUUCUAGUAGUAGUACUACUCGUACUACUGCGCAUGAUGGUACUCCGCAUGUUGGGUACUACAGUGUAUGCCUCUGACAAUCUGACACCGAAUGGACUGAUGCAUGUCCACCGAGGGUAGGUUGCAUUAGUCAAAGGGCGUAAGCGAGCUUCACCUUGUCCUGCAAGCUUCUCCUCGUUCUGCGAGUUGACGGGACACACCAAAAAGUAGUGCUAGUCCAUACUCCCUCCUUUCCGGUUAAUAUGCCUUAAUAUUUUUUGCAGGUAAAUGAGAGAGCUUUAUUCAUAUAUAAGCAUUCUUAGGACAAUCAGCCAAGACACUGGUCACUAGGAAGCGAGGUACCCCGCAAAAAAAGAAGUAGGAAGCGAUGUGUUUCAUCAAGCCAGCUCUCGGCCACAUUCAAAGUGCAGCAAGCACGGUUCGCACGAAGAUGCGCCGCAAGGUUUGCUGACCUGUUUACAUGCUGAAUAACAAAAAAAGAGGAAAUAUUACCGAGCGCUACUAUUUGUAACAGGAUAUGAGCCAGAAUUAAGCGAGAAUUGUGGCGAGUGUUCCAUGCAAUCAACUUCCAUUAUCACAUGUGAGAACCCUCGAAGAGAACCAAAUGUGUUGAAGAUUGCUUUAUCACAUUUUAAAAUUAUAAUAAGAGUGCAGACGCUCCUCCAUCCGGUUCCUAGUACUAGUAUAGUACGUACCUUUAUAGACUAUAGUAGUAGUACUAGUAAACUUUCGGCUUGGUUGUUCGCCUAUUCGGGAAGUCCAACAAUAAUAGCACUAGUAGUAUAGUGUAUGCUUCUGGCAAUCUGACACCGAAUUAACUGUUGCACGUCCACCGCCUGAGCGAGGGAGAGCUUGCAUUAGUCAAAAGUUUCUCCUUGUCCUGCGAGCCACCGCGCGCAAGCUUCUCCCGUCCUGCAACCUUCUCCUCGUUCGGCAAGUUGACGGGACACAGCAAAGUAAUGCUAGUCCAUACUGCCUCCUCUCCGGUUAAUAUGGCUUAAUUUCAAACGAGAUAAAUACAUUGUCUGUCACUGUAUAUUUGUAAAAAUACGGUCAGUGGACUUCAUAAUACACUCAUUGCGCUCAAUAUAUAUAUAUUUUUUCCGGUGUUUAUACAGUCACUAGAUCACCCUGACUGAGUAUGUGUGUGCAUGCACGUGUAGGUUGAGCACUUGAGCGUGACCGUGUGUGUUCCGUCGUGUGCUCGGACAUGCAUGCAUUAGGGCGUCGCGCGGGUUUUUGCGUCCAUGUGUACGUGUGACUGUUGCAUACACGUAGGGGGAGUACGUGUAGGGGCCACUAAGGAGCAGUCAAAUCACACAGUAAGUUAGUCGGAAGAAGCAACCAUCAUUUCACUCUUGAAUGACGCGUACGCAAUAUAAAAUGGUUGAUAUGGAGAGAAAAAAGAAAACCACUAUAUAUACACUAGCAGGAGCCUAAGCUACAAGCCUGCUUGCUUAGGUUGCUCUCUUCACAAGCAUAGAACGACGGGCCUGAUCCCGCAGCUGGGGGAAGGGAACAAUGUUCUGCGUAGACGCGGUCGACAUCGGCGAGGAUGAAAACCCACUGUCGGUGCGUCCCAAUCGGGGGUCAUCGCGGUAUGGGCCGAUGCCGCGUCCCAACCGCCCUUCUAGCUAUAGCCCGAUGUCCCAGGUAGUCCAUCUUCCUUUUGGAGCCAGCUUGCUCCACUGCCGUAGCUCCAUCUCCAUGUCGAUCUUUCUCUACUUCUACCGGCUUCUACUUGUGAUGAGUUUAUGUCUCAUGAACUAGUGCCAGUACUAUUAUUCUAAUCACACUUCUUCAAUAUCUUUGCCAUUAGGGAUGCUCAGGUCGAUUUUAGUGGAACUGCACAAAAGCAUCGUAUGAUCUGAGGGUGCCAGCCAUCUUUCCUUCGACAAGUUCUACCUGGCCAGGAAAUUAAAUCAUGUUUAGGGUUUAGGGUUUAAGUCGUAGUGACCCCAUCAAUAGUUUUUCUUUCGUACACGCUCUCACAACUUUUUCUUUAGUUGUGAAGUAAAUAUUGGCUAUGAUAUGUGAAUCAUUGAGAUGCAUCAGCAUGCGUGUUAGUUUUCCUUUGUAUUUGAUGGAAUGUUGUAACGGGGCAACCUUGGAAUAGGAAUGAAAAUGGAGUGGAAAGUUUCCGUUUUUCCGGAAAAAAAAUGGAAACGGAGAGAAACCAAUGUUUCGUUUCGUUGGAUUGCGCCAUCGAGCAAAACCAACGUUUAAAUCACGUCUGUCGUGUUCGUGUCGCACCCUCCUCCACGGCUCGACCCCACACGGUCGCUCGGCAUGCCACUCACUGCAAACCGAGUAUACGAUAACUUUCCCGCCUGCUUGUCGAUGGAUCGCGCCAUGGAGUACUAGCACUACUGGAAGAGAUUGACGAGUUGGGGGAGGACAGCUAGCUGUAGCACGGACUCCCAAGAACUUUUUACAUGCAUGUUGUAGCCGGCUAUUGCGACCUUUGAACGCGGAGCAGCCGCAUGCACCCGGAAGCGGCGCGGGCGACGCUCUCUCGGCCGGUGCGCCGCUUCAAUGUCGGCGCCGGUGAGAGGUCGCGUCCGCUCUGGCCGGGCAUGAAUGCGGCACUGACCGUUUCGGGCGGGAAGCACGCGCGGGUGAUGAAGAGGGUUCAGGUUGGUCAGGACCGGCCGUGGCAGCGGUCCGGACGUGCGCAAACAAGAGAUGUUGUACGUUAAUAUUGCUGCGUAUAUAAUUAACAACGUAAAUAAUGUGCCAGUUGGACAAAUAUGAUUGGAGAUGGAGAUGGAAAUGGAAUUUUACGUAAACACGGAUAUGCAUGUCUAUGUGUAUGUGUGUGUGCGCGACGACUCUCACGACCUGGAAGCGGGGGCGUGUUUUUGAUCGAGUUUUCUUUCUUGGUACGUUAGAAAAUCAGUUUGUCUAAUUCACAUCUAAAUGUUAUUUAAGGAUAUCACAUCUAAGCUCCCACAAGUAUAUAAUGUAGCAACAAGAAACAAAAAAAACUAGGAAAAAAUAGACCACAAACAGAGUGGACAUCAACUUAGAUGUGACAUAACUAUGUCACAUCUAGAUGUGUCCUAGACAGACCCUUAAAAAAUUGUCCGCCAGUUUUCGUUUCUUUUUUCCGGGAACGCGCGUAUUCUAUUUAAAACCAUUGCUAUGGAGAGAUUUUUUACUCCAUUAUAGCCUCUUGUUUGAUAGAGUUUCUCGCGUCUCGCUCUCUCACCCUCUCCAUAUAUGUUACAUGCUGGAGGCUCAGCGUUCAUUUGCUAGGGUUUGCUAUAUUCACAGUCUCUCACCCUCUCUUCACCAGAUCUAAACAAGACUGCGUUGGCCUCUUGUCUCUCUCUCCCCCCUCAGAGCUGGUGAAGGAGGCGUCCGUAUCCCGUCGCACCGGGAAGGGGAGGAGGUGCAGCGUUCACUCUAUCGCCUUCGGCGAGGGAGGCAAUCCACUGCCGGCUGCGCUGUUCUCUUUCACCCAGCGCCUGUGCGGGAGGGCCACCGACCCCUUCUUCCUCGCUGUCGUACGUAGUGUGGGCAGAUCCGGUCUCCCGCCGCACGCCUUGCCACAUCCCGACGACCCUAAGGUAUAAGUUUCUUUGAAACCCUCGUUGCUCUAGCUGCAUGUGGAUCUUUUUUGAUCUGUAGUUGAAUCUAGGUCUUGGUUCAAAGAGGAAAGAAGGGUGCGGUGGGCUGGAGCAAGAAUCUAGGACGUGGUUGAAUGAGGAAAGGAGGGGCGGAAAGUAGUAUAGAUUGGCUAUCCAGCCGCUUUGUAGGUCGAAAAGGGAAAAAGGGGGUAACCCAGUACACACAUCUGUAAGGAACCGAUCUCUUUGUUGAAAAGGGAAAGAAACUGGGGGGUCGGGUAGUUUGUGCAGGACUAGAUUUGCUGCCCUCACAUAGGAAGAAGGUUCAAAGAGAACAAAUAUGGGACCAGCGCAUAUAUGCUGCUUGGCUACAUACUCUGCAUCACCCAUUUAUACGUGUGGACGCACAUGGUGCUGGCAUGUCCCAUACAGCUAUUUUGCUGUUGCUAAUCUAAGAAUGCCGCCGGAAAAUUGAAGCAAUGCCAUUGUUAAAAGUAAAUUACAUUUUUUAACGAAUGUUGUUUCAAGAGAAUGUCUGUGUUAAUAUGAAUCAAUGCAACCAUUUUAGAAAUGCUACUGUCCUACUUUGUUUUCCAUCAAAGAUAAGUUAGAUGCUUCUUUCUGUCACCGUUUGUUUCAUCCUCAUUUAUCGGCAAGUAAUUGUUUCCUUUUUGCCUCUGUUAAAACAGGGCUAUCGAUUCAACUUGUUGCUAUUGCGACAUUUUGCUUCGCUACUCGAAACACUUAUGUUUUAAGAGUGUUUUGUGCAGUUCAACUUGAAUGUCACACCGGUGACUUUGCUUAAUUUUGGUGGAACUGCACAAAAGGUGAUCGAGAUUUGUUUCCAGUCUUCGUGGCGAGUUGUUUCAAAUCUUGGUCUCAACCACAUGAUGUGCAGUGUGCUUUGAGAUGUUGUGCUACUUGUUUUGGUACUGUUUUAAAUAAAUGUUGAAUUGAAGGUAUUGUAUUGAUGUCUUUUCCCAUUAAGUAGUGAACAAAAAUGGGACCAACCCAGACAUGAUGCUUGUUUCUUUGUUACAACAAAAUCAGCAUCACCCCCUUUAUAAGCCAGUAAUUGAUGCCACUCUCAGAAUUAACUACUGAAUCUUAUUUCAAAACUGCAACACUUGUUAGGGAUUGGCGGGAUUACCAUUUUUGUGGCCGCAUGUUUCAUCCUCCUUUAUUAGCCAGUAAUUGAUUCCUUUUUUGCCUCUGUUUAAACAGGGAUAUCUAUUCAACUUGUUGCUAUUGCGACAUUUUGCUUCGCUACGCGAAACACUUUCUUGAUUUCAGUGCAACUGCACAAAAUGAGAUUGGAUUUCCUAUUCGUGUUGGCAGAUUCGUAUUUUAUCUUGUCUGUCUCAUGAAAGGUCAGUACAGGUCUUCAUCCACAUGAUUGUGCAGUGUGCUUUGAGAUGUUGUGCUACUUGUAUUGGUACUGUUUUAAAUAAAUGUUGAAUUGAAGCUAUUGUAUUGCUGUCUUUUCCCAUUAAGUAGUGAACAAAAAUGGGACCAACCCAGACAUGAUGCUUGUUGCUUUGUUACAACAAACUCUGCAUCACCCCCUUUAUAAGUAGAUGGAAGCACAUACUGUUGUUGCGCCCACUCUCCCCUGGAACUGUUUAUGCUUUUUGUUAAUCUAAUGCCGCUGGUAAAAUUAAGCAAUGCCACUCUCAGAAUUAAUUAACUACUGAAUCUUAGUUCAAAACUGCAACACUUGUUAGGAAUGGUACUAUCCUGCUUUGUAGUUCUUUCUACAUGUUUAACCAAGGUAUUGUUAAGAUAAUGUCUAUGUUAAAAUGAAUCAGUUGCAUUGUUUUAGGAAUGGUACUUUUCUGCUUUGUCGUUCUUUAUACAUGUUGAAACAAGGCAUUGUUAAGAUAAUGUCUCAGUCAAUAUGAAUGAAUCACACUGAUGGAGAAUUGCUACUCUCCUGCUUUGUUUCCCAUUAAGAUAAAGUAGAUCAGUAGAUGCUUUUCUUCUGGGAGUACAAGUCAUCAACCAUUAUUUCUCAGUAAUUGUUUCCCUUAUACCUAUUGUUGCUUACAGGGAUAUCAAAAUUAAAGCUCGGUUUUAUUCCGACUUCAAUUUUAGUUGAACUGCACAAAAGGAGUCAAUGUGUCCAAGGCAAACUGCUGCAUUACUGGGUCCAGUUGGUCGUUCCACUUUGCAGAAAGAAGCCGUCACUGUUUGCGCUACAUUACAGAAGGAAUGAACGAGAAGCUUUACAGAGUAUUAUUAGACACCGGUGACAUGACUAGUCUGCAGAGACCAUUGGCAAUUUAACAACACGUGGAGUGCCCUGGGCAAAAAGUGCCCAAACAAGUACAAGAAGCUACGACAGGACUCCACGAUCAUAGGCAUUACAUAUUUUGAAUGGGAAAAGCUUGUCAAAGUUUAAUCAUUGAUGUUAGCAAGAAGACGUUAGUUUAAUAUAUUGGAAUUGGAAAACCUUGUCAAAAUUUGCUCAUUGAUGUUAGCCAGAAGACAUGCAUUUGAUAUUUUUGAGUGGGACGCCCUUGCUGUGAGCAGCGUCGAGUGUUUUUUCCUAUUCUUGUGUUCAUUUUAGAAGUAAAUAGUUACUCUGCUGAGAUAUUCCUGUGUUAAGAGUUUGUUCAGAAUAUUGUCUAUGUAAUGCCAGGCCUUGUGUUUGAUUGCAAAGUUGAGCUUGGAAUGUUGUGGCAUGUGGCAUCACGAGCUGUUCACCGUGCCUCCUGAGAAUAAUGCUUCGUAUUGUUUUGCAUGUCGAUCUAAUGCCAGUGAUUUGCUUGUUAAGAAGAUCAUCCUCUUCUGUUGUUUCCGUGCUUAAGAAGUUCAUCGUCUGAUGUUUCAUUCAUAGCCUAUACGACAAGUCGGGUAGGUUAGACGUGAAACCAUAUGAUCUUCCGACCAACUCAUGAUAUUAGGCCGUGAUUGGAUCGUCGUUUUCCAACCAAAACUGCUUGUAAAACUGACGCUUGUAAAUUAAAGCAGAUGGUCUCGGGCGAAAGGGCUUGGUUGGUCGAUUUCGACUAGUAAAAUAUCGGAAGUACUUCACACACAAUAAAAACGCUGAAUGACACUCGGAUGAUUGCUAAUCCAGCCGUUAGCUGUUGUUUCAACCUUGCCCAUGGAUGGCAUGAUACGCACGUCGUGCAUGUAUCGACUGGUAAUGUCGUCCAUAUAACAGUGCUCGUAAAAUAUACACUGGUCUCUCAAAUUACACGCGUAACCCGCCGGUUUUACUUACAGACCUCGGGCCCUCGGUUUCAUUACGCCUGUAUUUUACGUGUUGUUUCCGAUGACGAGUAAAUUACACUUGUAUGUUAAUACAGGUUUGAAAUAAACCAGAGCUCCCAAGCGCGGCCUUACCGUUUCAUGCCGUCUCAGUUUCUCGAAGGUGCUCAUAGGUGUCCGAUGAUCCUGGCUUCCUAAAUGAGCAGCGGGCGCUGUAUCAGACCAUCCGUAGGGCCCGCGAGGCCCUCUCCGUUGUCCUUCAAGUUGUUGCGCUCGCCGUGGCGCCGAGCAUUGUUAACAUCGUCAACGAACAUGAGGAUUCAGGAGAUGACUUUAUUUUGACUGGAUGACACUAGGGACCCACUAGGGCCAUAGCCAUACGUACGCAAGUGCCUCCUUAUUAUGUACAACUAUUUUUUUUGCUUUCUCCUGGUUUCCUGACAUCACGGUCCCACACCAUUGUCAACCUAUGUAGUCAAUAUAAACGAGAGAAUUGCACAAGGUGCGGCCGACAGCUGGGACCAAGCAGCUCGAGCAGUAUUUGUGUUUUUGAGGUGUGAGCACUGCAGAGUUUUUCUUGGCGAUGAUUUCGUUGUUGUUCAGAGGAGAGCAGGGUAUUAACUAGGCGGGCUGUGGCCCGUCUAGCCCAAGCCAGAUAUCCAGCCCAGAUACUAAUUUUUUCAAGAUGAAAAUGGCUAGCCCAGCUAUACGUCUUUUUGAGGAAUACCCAGGCAAGGUCAACUUGUUAUUCUCCGCCCCGCUGGGCUGCAAAUCUUUCCUAGGAGGGAUGAAUUAGGCUUAACAGGAAAAUGGGCUUUAAAAAUAAUAAAUGGGAUGUAAUUAUAAGAACUGGGCAGUAACUAUAAAAAAAUGCACCAAACACGAAAUUAGUUUAUAAAAUAUUAUUUAUGGAUUUUGAAAAUCUUAAAUUUUCAUUGUUGCGCGCGCAAUGUUUCGUUGGAUUUUUAAUCUGACUAGAAAUUUUGGGAUAAAAAUAUUUCGGAUCCCAUCAAAAUGUGGGAAAUUUUAUUGAAUUCUGUCUUCAACGGUUGGUUGAAAUUAUUAAUCGUUGUUCUAGCUAGAAAAUGGGUUGUACUUUUAACAAACUAUAAUGGGCUGUUGUAAAUUCCAUUAGAAUUCAAAAAUGGGCUGUACAUUCUUACAAAACGCAAAUGGGCUAUAAGUUCUCUGCCACACACUUGUGGGCCUACUAAGUGACGCGUCCCCUAAAAAAAUAAGUUGACGCGUAUGCAAGGCUUUGUCAACUUAUUAUAGUCAACACACGGUUCUAGCAGCAGUGGCCGUUGGAUGUCUAUCCAACGGAUGUCGUGCUUCUUCUUCAAUCUCGGAUAUUCUUAGCUUCGGCCGCCCAAAAAAUGAUUCCUCCCCCUGACAUCUGGGGCGCACCGUUUCGGAGGUUGACCUGUGGGCCUACUAAGUUGGAGCGUACCAAGGGCUUUGUCAACUUAGUCAAUAUAAACGAUUCUAGCUUCAGUGACCGUACGAUGUCCAUCCAACGGCGGUAGUGCUUCUUCAACCUCUGGUCUUCUUGGUCCAGCCGCCCAAAGCAGCGCCGGUCGUGCCGCCUGCUCCUGCCUCCCGUGGCUGGGUGUGCUGCCGCGGAGGCCUCACCGCCCCCAUACUACUCCCACCGCUGGUCAGGCCAUCCCUCCACUCACCCACACCCCCUGUUAUUCUGCGGCGACGGCAGCCUCACACCGCAGCCGAACUAGUGAACCCUCGUACUCCUCUCCGCGCGGGCUUCCAUUUCUGCGUCUUCCCCGGCUCCGCCUCGUCCCCUUCCUAGGCCUCGCCGUCGUCCACCGCCCUGGUGCUCUCGGCGCGGCGUGGUCAACAUGGUCAACGACCGACUUCCAUCGGAAGAGUACUGUACGUGGAGAGGCUGACAGCUGGGUCCACGGCGGCCGCAAGGAAGUGCCUCCUUAUUACGCGCAAAAUAAUUAUUCCUCCACCUGACAGCGGGGACCCACCAGACAGGCCACCUUAUUUCGCGAAAAAACGUUUCCCCCCUGACUGCUGGGACCCACCAGACGGGCCAUCAUAUUUCGUGAAAAAAAACGUUCCCCCCGCUGUCAGCUCGGACCGACUGGAAAUGCCUUCUUAUUACGCACAAAAAAAUGAAUACUCCCCCUACUAGCUGGGACCCACCUUGGUGGGAGGCUGACUUGUGGGCCUACUAAGUUGACGGGGACGGAGGGCUUUGUCAACUUCGUCAAUAUGAACGAUUCUAGCUCCAGUGACCGUACGAUGUCCAUCCAACGGCCGUAGUGCUUCUUCAACCUCUGGUCUUCUUGCUCCAGCCGCCCAAAGCAGCGUCAGUCGUGCUGCCUGCUCCUGCCUCCCGUGGCCGGCUGUGCUGCCGCGGAGGCCUCACCGCCCCCUACUAUUCCCACCGCUGGCCAGGCCCUGCGGCGACGGCAGCCUCACACCGCAGCCGAACGAGUGAACCCUCAUACUCCUCUCUGCGUGGGCAUCCACUGCCGCGUCUUCACCGGCUCCGCGUCGUCCCCUUCCUAGGCCUCGCCGUCGUCCACUGCCCUAGUGCUCUCAGCGUGGCGUGGUCGAUGUGGUCAAGGAACGACUUCCAUCGGACGUGGACUGUACGUGGAGAGGCUGACAGCUGGGUCCACGGUGGCAGCAAGGAAGUGUCUCCUUAUUACGCGGAAAAUAAUGAUUCCUCCACCUGACAGCAGGGACCCACCGGACGGGCCACCGUAUUUCGCGAAAAAAUUGUUUCCCCCCUGACUACUGGGACCCACCAGCUACAUCUUCGCACGCAAGGAAGUGCGUCCGGGCAAAAAAAACCAAAACGAUUCGACCCCCUGACUACUGGGACCCACCAGCUACAUCUUCGCAGGCAAGGAAGUGCCUGACAGUCGGGGCCCACCUGGUCGAAGCGUACGUAGUGUUGUCAUUCUAGUCACGAACGUGUACGUACAUAUAUACUGGUCGAUGUAGAGGCAUGCACGUGUCGUAGUAGAGGCGCGUACGUGUAGUAGUAGAGGCGCGCACGUAGCAUGUACAUGUACGUACAACGGCCAGGGUGCAAGAAAGAAAAUACGGCCACGCACGUACAUACGGGCAGGGUCUCGAAUGCCUACUCGCGCAUACGUACGACGAGGGCUCGUGUAGAUGGCUGGGUCAGAACGGAGAAACAGCGUCAUCGUCAUGUUCAUGGGGAGGCAACGGAAUGCGUCGUGUUCAUGGGGAGGGGUGUGGCGUACCGCAAAACAGAGGAAACGGACCUCCUACGGUCGAAACGGGGGUCCUGUUGAUCGGGAGGAGUGUGGCGUACCGCAAAACGGAGGAAACGAACCUCCUACGGUCGAAACGGGGGUCAUGUUGAUCGGGAGGGGUGUGGCGUACCGCAAAACGGAGGAAACGGACCUCCUACGGUCGAAACGGGGGUCCUGUUGAUCGGGAGGGGUGUGGCGUNNNNNNNNNNNNNNNNNNNNNNNNNNNNNNNNNNNNNNNNNNNNNNNNNNNNNNNNNNNNNNNNNNNNNNNNNNNNNNNNNNNNNNNNNNNNNNNNNNNNNNNNNNNNNNNNNNNNNNNNNNNNNNNNNNNNNNNNNNNNNNNNNNNNNNNNNNNNNNNNNNNNNNNNNNNNNNNNNNNNNNNNNNNNNNNNNNNNNNNNNNNNNNNNNNNNNNNNNNNNNNNNNNNNNNNNNNNNNNNNNNNNNNNNNNNNNNNNNNNNNNNNNNNNNNNNNNNNNNNNNNNNNNNNNNNNNNNNNNNNNNNNNNNNNNNNNNNNNNNNNNNNNNNNNNNNNNNNNNNNNNNNNNNNNNNNNNNNNNNNNNNNNNNNNNNNNNNNNNNNNNNNNNNNNNNNNNNNNCUCCACAGGAUACUGUUCAUCUCCACCGUCGACCUCCUCCAGCCUCCACGGGCUCCUGUUCAUCCAGCCUCCACCGCGCGCUACUCCACCGGCUACUGUUCAACCACCCCUCCACGGGCACCCCUCCACCGUCUACUGUUCAUCCAGCUCUCCACACCACGAGGUCCUGUUCAACCACCCCUCCACGGGCACCCCUCCACCGUCUACUGUUCAUCCAGCCCUCCACCACACCACGGGGUCCUGUUCAUCUAGAGGCAAUGCCACCGCUCACUGUUCAUCCAACCCCCCCGCAACAUUCACUGUUCAUCCAAUCGAUCGGCUUCAGUUAGCAGCAGUAGCGAAGGAAUCGCUCGAUCGGGUUCAGUUAACAGCCAUCGAUCGAUCGCUCAGGUUCAGUAACGCGUAGCCUGCAGUGCAAUCGCUCGGGUUCAGUUAGAGCCCAACGCCUCGCUCGGGUUCAGUUAGAGCCAACGCCUCGCACACACGCGCGCACGUGUACGAGAGAAACGCGCAUCGCUCGGCCCCCGACCUCCCACCGUAACCGGGAACUCCCCGAAAUUUUCCUCCCCCUCGCUUCUACCAUGGUUUUUUCCGUCAUGGACGGCCCAAAGAAUGUCAUACAGCUGCGUCUCCGGCCCGCCCAGGACGAAAAGCCCAUUUUCUGUCAUGAUUUUUUUCAUAGAAGUAGGAGCCCACCACAUCUAUGAUGAUACCGGGUUUUGUCACAAUUAUCGUCAUAGAAGUGUCAUAUGUAUGACAGAAAAAAAUUGUGCGGCCCAAAAUGUCACGGAUGUGUCUUUUUUUGUAGUGAAAACAAAUCCACCACCGUGCUCUAAAAAAUAUAAGUGAAAUACUAGAGCAAAACUAUAUAACUCAAAACAUAUAAGUGAAGCACAUAGAGUAUUCUAAUAAUUUCCGAAUCAUGUGUGUCUCUCUCAAAAGAUGUGUACAGCAAGGAUGAUUGUGUUAAACUAAAAAGCAAAGACUCAAAUCAUACAAGACGCUCCAAGCAAAACACAUAUCAUGUGGUGAAUAAAAAUAUAGCUCCAAGUAAAGUUACCGAUGGAAGUAGACGUAAGAGGGGAUGCCUUCCGGGGCAUCCCCAAGCUUUGGCUUUUUGGUGUCCUUAAAUUAUCUUGGGGGUUCCAUGGGCAUCCCCAAGCUUAGGCUCUUGCCACUCCUUGUUCCAUAAUCCAUCAAAUCUUUCACCCAAAACUUGAAAACUUCACAACACAAAACUUAACAGAAAAUCUCGUGAACUCCGUUAGCGAAAGAAAACAAAAGACCACUUCAAGGUACUGUAAUGAACUCAUUCUUUAUUUAUAUUGGUGUUAAACCUACUGUAUUCCAACUUCUCUAUGGUUUAUAAACUAUUUUACUAGCCAUAGAUUCAUCAAAAUAAGCAAACAACACACGAAAAACAGAAUCUGUCAAAAACAGAACAGUCUGUAGUAAUCUGUAACUAACGCAAACUUCUGGAACUCCAAAAAAUCAGCCAAAAUAGGACUACCUAGACAAUUUGUUUAUUGAUCAGCAGCAAUUUGAAUCAGUAUUUUAUCACGUUCUGGUGAUUUUUAACAAUUAUUUUCGUGAACAGAAAGUUUCUGGAAAUUUCUGCAAGAUCAAAUAACUAUCAUCCAAGAAGAUCCUAUAGGUUUAACUUGGCAAAAAAACUAAUUAAAACAUAAAAACAUAUAACCAGAGGCUAGAUCAAAUAUUUAUUCCUAAACAGAAGCAAAAAAGCAAAAAACUACAAAUAAAAUUGGGUUGCCUCCCAACAAGCGCUAUCGUUUAACGCCCCUAGCUAGGCAUAAAAGUAAGGAUAGAUCUAGGUAUUGCCAUCUUUGGUAGGCAAUCCAUAAGUGGCUCUCAUAAUAGAUUCAGAUGGUAAUUUUAUUUUCUUCCUAGGUAAGUGUUCCAUGCCUUUCUUUAAUGGAAAUUGGAAUCUAAUACUCCCUUCAUAUCAAUAAUUGCACCAAUCGUUCUAAGGAAAGGUCUACCAAGAAUAAUUGGACAUGAAGGAUUGCAAUCUAUGUCAAGAACAAUAAAAUCUACGGGCACAUAAUUCCUAUUUCCAACAAUAAGAACAUCAUUAAUUCUUCCCAUAGGUUUCUUAAUAGUAGAAUCCGCAAGGUGCAAGUUUAAAGAGCAAUCGUCAAAAUCACGGAAAUCUAGCAAAUCGCACAAAGUUUUGGGAAUAGUGGAAACACUUGUUGGGGAAUGUAGCAAUUUCAAAAAAAAUCCUACGCACACGCAAGAUCAUGGUGAUUCAUAGCAACGAGAGGGGAGAGUGUGUCCACGUACCCUCAUAGACCGAAAGCGGAAGCGUUAGCACAACGCGGUUGAUGUAGUCGUACGUCUUCACGAUCCGACCGAUCAAGUACCGAACGCACGGCACCUCCGAGUUCAGCACACGUUCAGCCCGAUGACGUCCCUCGAACUCCGAUCCAGCCAUGUGUUAAGGGAGAGUUUCGUCAGCACGACGGUGUGGUGACGAUGAUGAUGUUCUACCGACGCAGGGCUUCGCCUAAGCACCGCUACGAUAUUAUCGAGGUGGAUUAUGGUGGAGGGGGGCACCGCACACGGCUAAGAGAUCAAGAGAUCAAUUGUUGUGUCUAUGGGGUGCCCCCUGCCCCCGUAUAUAAAGGAGCAAGGGCGGGAGGUGCGGCCGGCCAAAAGGAGGCGCGCCAAGAGGAGUCCUACUCCCACCGGGAGUAGGACUCUCUCCCUUCCUUGUUGGACUAGGAGAGGAGAGGGAAGGAAAGAGGGGGAAAGGAAAGGGGGGCGCCCCCCCCUCCUUCCACCAAUUGGGCCCAUGAGGCCCAAUAGCCUCUGGGGGGUUCCGGUAACCCCCCGGUACUCCGGUAUAUAUCCGAUAACCCCCGGAACCAUUCCGGUGUCCGAAUAUAGUCAUCCAAUAUAUCAAUCUUCAUGUCUCGACCAUUUCGAGACUCCUCGUCAUGUCCGUGAUCACAUCCGGGACUCCGAACAACCUUCGGUACAUCAAAACAUAUAAACUCAUAAUAUAACUGUCAUCGAAACGUUAAGCGUGCGGACCCUACGGGUUCGAGAACUAUGUAGACAUGACCGAGACACGUCUCCGGUCAAUAACCAAUAGAGGAACCUGGAUGCUCAUAUUGGCUCCCACAUAUUCUACGAAUAUCUUUAUCGGUCAGACCGCAUAACAACAUACGUUGUUCCCUUUGUCAUCGGUAUGUUACUUGCCCGAGAUUCGAUCGUCGGUAUCUCAAUACCUAGUUCAAUCUCAUUACCGGCAAGUCUCUUUACUCGUUCCGUAAUACAUCAUCCCACAACUAACUCAUUAGUUGCAAUGCUUGCAAGGCUUAAGUGAUGUGCAUUACCGAGAGGGCCCAGAGAUACCUCUCCGACAAUCGGAGUGACAAAUCCUAAUCUCGAAAUACGCCAACCCAACAAGUACCUUUGGAGACACCUGUAGAGCACCUUUAUAAUCACCCAGUUACGUUGUGAUGUUUGGUAGCACACAAAGUGUUCCUCCGGUAAACGGGCGUUGCAUAAUCUCAUAGUCAUAGGAACAUGUAUAAGUCAUGAAGAAAGCAAUAGCAACAUACUAAACGAUCGAGUGCUAAGCUAACGGAAUGGGUCAAGUCAAUCACAUCAUUCUCCUAAUGAUGUGAUCCCGUUAAUCAAAUGACAACUCAUGUCUAUGGCUAGGAAACAUAACCAUCUUUGAUCAACGAGCUAGUCAAGUAGAGGCAUACUAGUGACACUCUGUUUGUCUAUGUAUUCACACAUGUAUCAUGUUUCCGGUUAAUACAAUUCUAGCAUGAAUAAUAAACAUUUAUCAUGAUAUAAGGAAAUAAAAAAUAACUUUAUUAUUGCCUCUAGGGCAUAUUUCCUUCAGUCUCCCACUUGCACUAGAGUCAAUAAUCUAGUUCACAUCGCUAUGUGAUUUAACAUCAAUGGUUCACAUCUUUAUGUGAUUAACACCCAUAGUUCACAUCGACAUGUGACCAACACCCAAAGGGUUUACUAGAGUCAGUAAUCUAGUUCACAUCGCUAUGUGAUUAACACCCAAAGAGUGCUAAGGUGUGAUCAUGUUUUGCUUGUGAGAUAAUUUUAGUCAACGGGUCUGUCACAUUCAGAUCCGUAAGUAGUUUGCAAAUUUCUAUGUUUACAAUGCUCUGCACGGAGCUACUUUAGCUAAUUGCUCCCACUUUUCAAUAUGUAUCUGGAUUGUGACUUAGAGUCAUCCAGAUCGGUGUCAAAGCUUGCAUCGACGUAACUCUUUACGACGAACUCCUUAUCACCUCCAUAACCGAGAAAUAUAUCCUUAUUCCGCUAAGGAUAAUUUUGACCGCUGUCCAGUGAUCUACUCCUAGAUCACUAUUGUACUCCCUUGCCAAACUUAUGGUGAGGUACACAAUAGGUCUGGUACUCAGCAUAGCAUACUUGAUAGAACCUAUGACUGAGGCAUAGGGAAUGACUCUUCAUUCUCUUUCUAUUCUUCUGCCGUGGUCGGGUUUUGAGUCUGUACUCAACUUCACACCUUGUAACACAUGCAAGAACUCUUUCUUUGACUGUUCCAUUUUGAACUAUUUCAAAAUCCUGUCAAGGUAUGUACUCAUUGAAAAAAAAAACUUAUCAAGCGUCUUGAUCUAUCUCUAUAGAUCUUGAUGCUCAACAUGUAAGCAGCUUCACCGAGGUCUUUCUUUGAAAAACUCCUUUCAAACACUCCUUUAUGCUUUGCAGAAUAAUUCUACAUUAUUUCUGAUCAACAAUAUGUCAUUCAAAUAUACUUAUCAAAAAUGCUGUAGUGCUCCCACUCACUUUCUUAUAAAUACAGGCUUCACCGCAAGUCUGUAUAAAACUAUAUGCUUUGAUCAACUUAUCAAAGCGUAUAUUCCAACUCCGAAAUCUUUGCACCAGUCCAUAGAUGGAUCGCUGGAGCUUGCAUAUUUUGUUAGCACUUUUAGGAUUGACAAAACCUUCUGGUUGCAUCAUAUACAACUCUUCUUUAAUAAAUCCACUAAAGAAUGCAGUUUUGUUUAUCCAUUUGCCAGAUUUCAUAAAAUGUGGCAAUUGCUAACAUGAUUCGGACAGACUUAAGCAUAGAUACGAGUGAGAAACUCUCAUCGUAGUCAACACCUUGAACUUGUCGAAAACCUUUUGCGACAAUUCUAGCUUUGUAGAUAGUAACACUACUAUCACCGUCCGUCUUCCUCUUGAAGAUCCAUUUAAUCUCAAUGGCUCGCCGAUCAUUGGGCAAGUCAAUCAAAGUCCAUACCUUGUUCUCAUACAUGGAUCCCAUCUCAGAUUUCAUGGCCUCAAGCCAUUUUGCGGAAUCUGGGCUCAUCAUCGCUUCCUCAUAGUUCGUAGGUUCGUCAUGGUCAAGUAACAUGACCUCCAGAACAGGAUUACCGUACCACUCUGGUGCGGAUCUUACUCUGGUUGACCUACGAGGUUCGGUAGUAACUUGAUCUGAAGUUUCAUGAUCAUCAUCAUUAGCUUCCUCAUUAAUUGGUGUAGGUGUCACAGGAACCGGUUUCUGUGGUGAACUACUUUCCAAUAAGGGAGCAGGUACAGUUACCUCAUCAAGUUCUACUUUCCUCCCACUCACUUCUUUCGAGAGAAACUCCUUCUCUAGAAAGGAUCCAUUUUCAGGAACGAAUAUCUUGCCUUCGGAUCUGUGAUAGAAGGUGUACCCAACAUUUUCUUUUGGGUAUCCUAUGAAGACACAUUUCUCCGAUUUGGGUUUGAGCUUAUCAAGUUGAAACUUUUUCACAUAAGCAUUGCAACCUCAAACUUUAAGAAACGACAGCUUAGGUUUCUUGCCAAACCAUAGUUCAUACAGUGUCGUCUCAACGGAUUUAGAUGGUGCCCUAUUUAACGUGAAUGUAGCUGUCUCUAAUGCAUAACCCUAAAACGAUAGUGGUAGAUUGGUAAGAGACAUCAUAGAUCGCACCAUAUCUAAUAAAGUACGGUUACGACGUUCGGACACACCAUUACACUUUGGUGUUCCAGGUGGCGUGAGUAGUGAAACUAUUUCACAUUGUUUUAACUGAAGGCCAAACUCGUAACUCAAAUAUUUUACCUCUGCGAUCAUAUCGUAGAAACUUUUAUUUUUGUUACGAUGAUUCUCCACUUCACUCUAAAAUUCUUUGAACUUUUCAAAUGUUUCAGACUUGUGUUCCAUCAAGUAGAUAUACCCAUAUCUGCUCAAAUCAUCUGUGAAUGUCAGAAAAUAAUGAUACCCGCCGCAAGCCUUAAUAUUCAUCGGACCACAUACAUCAGUAUGUAUGAUUUCCAACAAAUCUAUUGCUUGCUCCAUUGUUCCGGAGAACGGCGUUUUAGUCAUCUUGCCCAAGAGGCAUGGUUCGCAAGCAUCAAGUGAUUCAUAAUCAAGUGAUUCCAAAAUCCCAUCAGCAUGGAGUUUCUUCAUGCGCUUUACACCAAUAUGACCUAAACGGCAGUGCCACAAAUAAGUUGCACUAUCAUUAUUAACUUUGCAUCUUUUGGCUUCAUUAUUAUGAAUAUGUGUAUCACUACGAUCGAGAUCCAACAAACCAUUUUAUUGGGUGUAUGACCAUAGAAGGUUUUAUUCAUGUAAACAGAACAACAAUUAUUCUCUAAUUUAAAUGAAUAACCGUAUUGCAACAAACAUGAUCAAAUCAUAUUCAUGCUCAACGCAAACGCCAAAUAACACUUAUUUAGUUUCAACACUAAUCCCGAAAGUAUAGGGAGUGUGCGAUGAUGAUCAUAUCAAUCUUGGAACUACUUCCAACACACAUCGUCACCUCGCCUUUUACUAGUUUCUGUUUAUUCUGCAACUCCCGUUUCGAGUUACUACUCUUAGCAACUGAACCAGUAUCAAAUGCCUAGGGGUUGCUAUAAACACUAGUAAAGUACACAUCAAUAACAUGUAUAUCAAAUAUACCUUUGUUCACUUUGCCAUCCUUCUUAUCCACCAAAUACUUGGGGUAGUUCCGCUUCCAGUGACCAGUCCCUUUGCAGUAGAAGCACUUAGUCUCAGGCUUAGGACCAGACUUGGGCUUCUUCACUUGAGCAGCAACUUGCUUGCCGUUCUUCUUGAAGUUCCCCUUCUUCCCUUUGCCCUUUUCUUGAAACUAGUGGUCUCGUCAACCAUCAACACUUGAUGUUUUUCUUGAUUUCUACCUUCGCCGAUUUCAGCAUCAGAUAGAGCUUGGGAAUUGUUUCUGUUAUCCCUUGCAUAUUAUAGUUCAUCACGAAGUUCUACUAACUUGGUGAUGGUGACUAGAGAAUUCUGUCAAUCACUAUCUUAUCUGGAAGAUUAACUCCCACUUUAUUCAAGAGAUUGUAGUACCCGGACAAUCUGAGCACAUGCUCACUGCCUGAGCUAUUCUCCUCCAUCUUUUAGCUGUAGAACUUGUUGGAGACUUCAUAUCUCUCAACUUGGGUAUUUGCUUGAAAUAUUAACUUCAACUCCUAGAACAUCUCAUAUGGUCCAUGACGUUCAAAAAGACUUUGAAGUCUCGAUUCUAAGCAGUUAAGCAUGGUGCACUAAACUAUCAAGUAGUCAUCAUAUUGAGCUAGCCAAACGUUCAUAACGUCUGCAUCUGCUCCUGUAAUAGGUCUGUCACCUAGCGGUGCAUCAAGGACAUAAUUCUUCUGUGUAGCAAUGAGGAUAAACCUCAGAUCAUGGACCCAGUCCGCAUCAUUGCUACUAUCAUCUUUCAACUUAGUUUUCUCUAGGAACAUAUAUAAAACAUAGGGAAGCAACAACGCGAGCUAUAUAUCUACAACAUAGAUAUGCUAAUACUACCAGGACUAAGUUCAUGAUAAAUUAAAGUUCAAUUAAUCAUAUUACUUAAGAACUCCCACUUAUAUAGACAUCCCUCUAAUCUUCUAAGUGAUCACGUGAUCCAUAUCAACUAAACCAUGUCCGAUCAUCACGUGAGAUGGAGUAGUUUCAAUGGUGAACAUCACUAUGUUGAUCAUAUCUACUAUAUGAUUCACGCUCGACCUUUCGGUCUCAGUGUUCCGAGGCCAUAUCUGUUAUAUGCUAGGCUCGUCAAGUUUAACCUGAGUAUUCCGUGUGUGCAACUGUUUUGCACCCGUUGUAUUUGAACGUAGAGCCUAUCACACCCGAUCAUCACGUGGUGUCUCAGCACGAAGAACUUUCGCAACGGUGCAUACUCAGCGCGAACACUUAUACUUUGAUAAUUUAGUGAGGGAUCAUCUUACAAUGCUACCGUCAAUCAAAGCAAGAUAAGAUGCAUAAAAGAUAAACAUCACAUGCAAUCAAUAUAAGUGAUAUGAUAUGGCCAUCAUCAUCUUGUGCUUGUGAUCUCCAUCUCCGAAGCACCGUAAUGAUCACCAUCGUCACCGACGCGACACCUUGAUCUUCAUCGUAGAAUCGUUGUCGUCUCGCCAAUCUUAUGCUUCUACUACUAUCGCCACCGCUUAGUGAUAAAGUAAAGCAUUACAGGGCGAUUGCAUUGCAUACGAUAAAGCGACAACCAUAUGGCUCCUGCCAGUUGCCGAUAACUCGGUUACAAAACAUGAUCAUCUCAUACAAUAAAAUUUAGCAUCAUGUCUUGACCAUAUCACGUCACAACAUGCCCUGCAAAAACAAGUUAGACGUCCUCUACUUUGUUGUUGCAAAUUUUACGUGGCUGCUACGGGCUUAGCAAGAAUCGUUCUUACCUACGCAUCAAAACCACAAUGAUAGUUUGUCAAGUUGGUGUUGUUUUAACCUUCGCAAGGACCGGGCGUAGCCACACUCGGUUCAACUAAAGUUGGAGAAACUGACACCCGCCAGCCACCUGUGUGCAAAGCACGUCGGUAGAACCAGUCUCGCGUAAGCGUACGCGUAAUGUCAGUCCGGGCCGCUUCAUCCAACAAUACCGCCGAACCAAAGUAUGACAUGCUGGUAAGCAGUAUGACUUAUAUCGCCCACAACUCACUUGUGUUCUACUUGUGCAUAUAACAUCAACGCAUAAAACCAGGCUCGGAUGCCACUGUUGAGGAACGUAGUAAUUUCAAAAAAAUUCCUACGCACACGCAAGAUCAUGGUGAUGCAUAGCAACGAGAGGGGAGAGUGUGUCCACGUACCCUCGUAGACCGAAAGCGGAAGCGUUAGCACAAUGCGGUUGAUGUAGUCGUACGUCUUCACGAUCCGACCGAUCAAGUACCGAACGCACGGCACCUCCAAGUUCAGCACACGUUCAGCCCGAUGACGUCCCUCGAACUCCGAACCAGCCGAGUGUUGAGGGAGAGUUUCGUCAGCACGACGGCGUGGUGACGAUGAUGAUGUUCUACCGACGCAGGGCUUCGCCUAAGCACCGCUAUGAUAUUAUCGAGGUGGAUUAUGGUGGAGGGGGGCACCGCACACGGCUAAGAGAUCAAGAGAUCAAUUGUUGUGUCUAUGGGGUGCCCCCCUGCCCCCGUAUAUAAAGGAGCAAGGGGGAGGUGCGGCCGGCCAGAAGGAGGCGCGCCAGGAGGAGUCCUACUCCCACCGGGAGUAGGACUCCCUCCCUUCCUUGUUGGACUAGGAGAGGAGAAGGAAGGAGAGAGGGGGAAAGGAAAGGGGGGCGCCGCCCCCCCUCCUUCCACCAAUUGGUCCCAUGAUGCCCAAUAGCCUCCGGGGGGUUCCGGUAACCCCCCGGUACUCCGGUAUAUAUCCGAUAACCCCCGGAACCAUUCCGGUGUCCGAAUAUAGUCAUCCAAUAUAUCAAUCUUCAUGUCUCGACCAUUUCGAGACUCCUCGUCAUGUCCGUGAUCACAUCCGGGACUCUGAACAACCUUCGGUACAUCAAAACAUAUAAACUCAUAAUAUAACUGUCAUCGAAACGUUAAGCGUGCGGACCCUACGGGUUCGAGAACUAUGUAGACAUGACCGAGACACGUCUCCGUUCAAUAACCAAUAGCGGAACCUGGAUGCUCAUAUUGGCUCCCACAUAUUCUACGAAGAUCUUUAUCGGUCAGACCGCAUAACAACAUAUGUUGUUCCCUUUGUCAUCGGUAUGUUACUUGCCCGAGAUUCGAUCGUCGGUAUCUCAAUACCUAGUUCAAUCUCGUUACCGGCAAGUCUCUUUACUCGUUCCGUAAUACAUCAUCCCACAACUAACUCAUUAGUUGCAAUGCUUGCAAGGCUUAAGUGAUGUGCAUUACCGAGAGGGCCCAGAGAUACCUCUCCGACAAUCGGAGUGACAAAUCCUAAUCUCGAAAUACGCCAACCCAACAAGUACCUUUGGAGACACAUAUAGAGCACCUUUAUAAUCACCCAAUUACGUUGUGACGUUUGGUAGCACACAAAGUGUUCCUCCGGUAAACGGGAGUUGCAUAAUCUCAUAGUCAUAGGAACAUGUAUAAGUCAUGAAGAAAGCAAUAGCAACAUACUAAACGAUCGAGUGCUAAGCUAACGGAAUGGGUCAAGUCAAUCACAUCAUUCUCCUAAUGAUGUGAUCCCGUUAAUCAAUGACAACUCAUGUCUAUGGCUAGGAAAAAUAACCAUCUUUGAUCAACGAGCUAGUCAAGUAGAGGCAUACUAGUGACACUCUGUUUGUCUAUGUAUUCACACAUGUAUCAUGUUUCCGGUUAAUACAAUUCUAGCAUGAAUAAUAAACAUUUAUCAUGAUAUAAGGAAAUAAAUAAUAACUUUAUUAUUGUCUCUAGGGCAUAUUCCUUCAACACUAGCACCCAAAUCACAUAAAGCAUAGAACUCAUGAUCCUUAAUCUUAAUUUUAAUAGUGGGUUCCCACUCAUCAUAAAGUUUUCUAGGGAUAGAAACUUCCAACUCAAGCUUUUCUUCAUAAAAUUGCAUCAACGCAUCAACGAUAUGUUUAGUAAACGCUUUAUUUUGACUAUAAGCAUGAGGAGAAUUUAGCACGGAUUGCAACAAGGAAAUACAAUCUAUCAAAGAGCAAUUCUUAUAAUUAAAUUCCUUGAAAUCCAAAACAGUGGGUUUAUUAAUAUCUAGAGUUUUGAUUUCUUCAAUCCCACUUUUAUCAAUUUUAGCAUCAAGAUCUAAAAACUCCGAAUUUUUGGAACGCCUUCUAUGUAAAGGUGGAUCAUAUUCAGUCCCAUCAUUAUCAAGAUUCAUAUUACAAAACAAAGAUUUAAUAGGGGACACAUCAAUAACUUUUAGAUUUUCAUCUUUAUUUUCAUAGAAAUUUGAAGAACACGCUUUCAUAAAGCAAUCUUUCUUAGCACGCAUCCUAGCGGUUCUUUCUUUGCACUCAUCAAUGGAAAUUCUCAUGGCUUUGAGAGACUCAUUGAUAUCAUGCUUAGGAGGAAUAGAUCUAAGUUUUAAAGAAUCAACAUCAAGAGAAAUUCUAUCAACGUUCCUAGCCAAUUCAUCAACUUUAAGCAAUUUCUCUUCAAGCAAAGCAUUGAAAUUCUUUUGCGAAUUCAUAAAUUCUUUAACACUAGUCUCAAAUUCAGAGGGCAUCUUAUUAAAAUUUCCAUAAGCAUUGUUGUAGGAAUUACCAAAAUUAUUAGAGGAAUUGCUAGGAUAAGGCCUAGGAUUAAAGUUUCCUCUAUACGCGUUGUUACCAAAAUUAUUCCUACCAAAAAAAUUCACAUCCAUAGAUUCAUUAUUAUUCUCAAUCAAAGUAAACAAAGGCAUAUCAUUAGGAUCAGAAGAAACACUCUUAAUAGCAAAUAAUUUCAUAAGUUCAUCCAUCUUUCCACUCAAAACAUUAAUUUAUUCUAUCGCAUGCACUUUUUUAUUAGUAGAUCUUUCAGUGUGCCAUUGAGAAUAAUUAACCAUAAUAUUAUCUAGGAGUUUAGUAGCUUCUCCUAAAGUGAUUUCCAUAAAAGUGCCUCCCGCGACUGAAUCUAAAAGAUUUCUAGAAGCAAAAUUCAAUCCGGCAUAAAAAAAUUGUAUAAUCAUCCACAAAUUCAAACCAUGAGUAGGGCAACUACGUAUCAUUAAUUUCAUCCUCUCCCAAGCUUGUGCAACAUGUUCGUGAUCAAGUUGCUUAAAAUUCAUAAUAUCGUUUCUAAGAGAGAUAAUCGUAGCAGGAGGAAAAUACUUAGAGAUAAAAGAAUCUUUGCACUUAUUCCAAGAAUCAAUACUAUUUUUAGGCAAAGACGAAAACCAAGCUUUAGCACGAUCUCUAAGCGAAAAAGGAAAUAGCUUCAAUUUAACAAUAUCAUUGUCCACAUCUUUCUUCUUUUGCAUAUCACACAAAUCAACAAAGCUAUUUAGAUGAGUAGCGGCAUCUUCACUAGGAAGGCCGGCGAAUUGAUCUUUCAUGACAAGAUUCAACAAAGCAGCAUUGAUUUCACAAGAUUCAGUAUCGGUAAGAGGAGCAAUCGGAGUGCUAAGGAAAUCAUUAUUGUUGGUAUUGGUAAAGUCACAUAAUUUGGUAUUAUCUUGAGCCAUCGUGACAAACAAGCAAUCCAACACACGAGCAAACAAAAAGCAAGCGAAAAAGAGGCGAAUGAAAAAGAGAGGGCGAAUAAAACGGCAAGGGUGAAGUGGGGGAGAGGAAAACGAGAGGCAAAUGGCAAAUAAUGUAAUGCGGGAGAUAAGGGUUUGUGAUGGGUACUUGGUAUGUUGACUUUUGCGUAGACCUCCCCGGCAACGGCGCCAGAAAUCCUUCUUGCUACCUCUUGAGCACUGCGUUAGUUUUCCCUUGAAGAGGAAAGGGUGAUGCAGCAAAGUAGCGUAAGUAUUUCCCUCAGUUUUUGAGAACCAAGGUAUCAAUCCAGUAGGAGGCUACGCGCGAGUCCCUCGCACCUACACAAAACAAAUAAAUCCACGCAACCAACGCGAUAAGGGGUUGUCAAUCCCUACACGGUCACUUACGAGAGUGAGAUCUGAUAGAUAUGAUAGGAUAAUAUUUUUGGUAUUUUUAUGAUAAAGAUGCAAAGUAAAAUAAAAGCAAAGGAAAAAGCAAAGGAAAUAACUAAGUGUUGGAAGAUUAAUAUGAUGAAGAUAGACCCGGGGCCCAUAGGUUUCACUAGUGGCUUCUCUCGAGAGCAUAAGUAUUUUACGGUGGGUGAACAAAUUACUGUUGAGCAAUUGACAGAAUUGAGCAUAGUUAUGAGAAUAUCUAGGUAUGAUCAUGUAUAUAGGCAUCACGUCCGAGACAAGUAGACCGACUCCUGCCUGCAUCUACUACUAUUACUCCACACAUCGACCGCUAUCGAGCAUGCAUCUAGAAUAUUAAGUUCAUAAGAACAGAGUAACGCCUUAAGGAAGAUACAUGAUGUAGAGGGAUAAAUUCAUGCAAUAUGAUAAAAAAAAACCAUCUUGUUAUCCUCGAUGGCAACAAUACAAUACGUGCCUUGCUGCCCCUACUAUCACUGGGAAAGGACACCGCAAGAUUGAACCCAAAGCUAAGCACUUCUCCCAUUGCAAGAAAGAUCAAUCUAGUAGGCCAAACCAAACUGAUAAUUCGAAGAGACUUGCAAAGAUAACCAAUCAUACAUAAAAGAAUUCAGAAGAUUCAAAUAUUGUUCAUAGAUAAACUUGAUCAUAAACCCACAAUUCAUCGGUCUCAACAAACACACGGCAAAAGAAGAUUACGACGAAUAGAUCUCCAUGAGAGAGGGGGAGAACAUUGUAUUGAGAUCCAAGAUGAGAGAGGAAGCCAUCUAGCUACUAACUAUGCACCCGAAGGUCUGAGGUAAACUACUCACACUUCAUCGGAGAGGCUAUGGUGUUGAUGUAGAAGCCCUCCGUGAUGGAUGCCCCCUCCGGCGGAGCUCCGGAACAGGCCCCAAGAUGGGAUCUCGUGGGUACAGAAGGUUGCGGCGGUGGAAUUAGGUUUUUGGCUCUAUAUCUGAUCGUUUGGGGGUACGUAGGUAUAUAUAGGAGGAAGAACUACGUCGGUGGAGCAACGUGGGGCCCACGAGGGUGGAGGGCGCGCCUGGGGGGGUAGGCGCGCCCCCCUACCUCGUGGCUUCCUGGAAGCUUCUCUUACGUAGGGUCCAAGUCUCCUGGAUCAUGUUCGUUCCGAAAAUCACGUUCCCGAAGGUUUCAUUCCGUUUGGACUCCGUUUGAUAUUCUUUUUCUGCGAAACUCUGAAAUAGGCAAAAAACUGCAAUUCUGGGCUGGGCCUCCGGUUAAUAGGUUAGUCCCAAGAAUAAUAUAAAAGUGAAUAAUAAAGCCCAAUAAUGUCCAAAACAGAAGAUAAUAUAGCAUGGAGCAAUCAAAAAUUAUAGAUACGUUGGAGACGUAUCAGACACAUAUUUCGAGGAUGAUCAGAUCUGAGAUUAUGGGCCAAUGAAAGCAAUACAAACACGAUUAAAGAUCUGUGAUUAUGGGCCAAUGGAACUACUGAAAACCCAACUAAAUAACUGAGAUUGUAGGCCAAUGAAAGAAAUGAAGACCCGAUUAAAGAUUCAAGACUAUUAUGGGCCAAUGGAAGAAAUAAAGACAUGAUUAAACUUGCAAACUCAUGCCGAUGUGCAUGGUGCAUAAUUAAAGGACUCGUGGGCUAAAUCAUUAUAAUUUACACCAAAGGCGAGAAGUAGAUGGGUGGGGUAGACCGAGGAGGCAUUUAAGGACGAGGAGGAACUCACAAUUUUCACACUUGACGCAUACGACCAGCACGUUGCCACACUCACGAAACAUGAAAUCAUGGGUGAUGACACGCCGAGGUGUCCACCAAAGCCCGUGCCACCAGGGAGCUACCUCUCUCUCUAGGGAUUUUUUAUUUCUUGCAAUUAAUUUUGAUGAUAAAGACUAAUGUUUGUCCCGCGUUGCAACACAUGGGCAUAUGUGCUAGUAAAUCAAAAGGAAAAAAGAAAACUGAAAUAAAAAUCAAAAAUAAAAACCUCAAGGAAAAAAAACCCAACAAAAAGCCCAAGAAAGACCGGAAUGGAAUCAAACCUUGGAAGAAUAAACCACAAACUCAGCACAACAAAAUUUGAACCAAAUACAACGAAAGCAACAGAAUAAAAAGGGAGCAACUAGUUGACGAGGGCUCCUUCGGGAGCCUCGCAACCAUCAGCGCCACUUGGCGCGCUCUCAGCCGCCCCGCCACGUGUCGCGCUCUGGACGCUCCUUUCGUAUUUUAAUUUUUUUCGCACGCGUUUUCGGCUUUUUAAAUGAUUUAUUUGGGGUUUUUUCGACAUUUUGGUUUUCCACAGCUUUUAGGCCCAAAAAAAAUGCCCGAAAAAGUGCAUUUUUUUCUUCCGCGAGAGCACGGUUUUGCUUCCGUGAGAGGCACGGUUGUGCUUCCGUGAGAGGCACGGUUUUGCUUCCGCGAAAGGCACGGCCGUGCCUCUCGAAGACGAAAAAACGGGUUUUCUGUUUUUUCCUUCCGCGAGAGACACGGUUGUGAUUUUGCGAGAGGCACGACAAUGCCUCUUUCAAAAAGGAAAAAAUGCAUUUUUUGUUUUUUUUCCCUUCCGUGAGACUCAUGGUUUUGCUUCCGCGAGAGGCACCGUUGUGAUUCCGCUAGAGGCACGACCGUGCUCUUUCGAAAAGGGAAAAACCAUGCUCCUAGUUCGGUUUUUUUGUCCAGUUUUUUUGUGAAGAAAAAGUUCGUUAAAACCUAUCAACAUGGUAUCUAGUUUUUAAGAUCUCGACCCGAGGAAUCGAACGGUGAAAACGGUUCGAGAUUUGGACGCACGGUUUAAGAGAUAAAAUGUUAUGAAUAAACGGAUCUACGAAAAAAGAGAAAACUCACAUGUAGUGACAAAUGAUGCGUGCCAUUUGUCACAACCUGAGAAGGCGGUUGACACGAUAAACUCAAUUGGCAUUAAUGAUAGAGAUAGGGUAAGUGUCAUGUCUUUAUGUUCCUUCCAUGUUCAUGCUUCUUUUUUGGUGUUUCAAGUGCUAACUUGUUCUUUUGUUUGUAGGUCACUAUUGCAUAGAACUUAUUUCAAGGAGAAGAGAAGAAGACCAAGAAAAGGAAGGUCAAGAAAGGGAGACCAUUUGUGUUGGCCCGUUGCUACAAUGUGUUGAAGGAUGAAGAGAAAUGGAAGCCCCAUGAUGACCAAGAGGAGAGCAUGAUGACAAGGAGCCAAGAUGCGGAGGUCGAGGAGAGGAGGGUGGCUGCCGAGGAGAGGAAGGUGCAAUUGGAGGAGAAGAAAUUGUCCAUGGAGAAGCGAUCUAGAUUAUUGAAAUGGGAGAAGCACUUGUUCUUCAUGGACACAUCUAAACUCGAUGAUAGGCAAAAGGAGUACGUCAUUCUUUCCCCUGAAGAAGUCUUAGAAAAAAGAGACAUGGCCAUGGGAGGCAUGGGAGCUACCAAUGGGAGGCAUGGGUGGCAUGAGUGGCUUCGGAGCUACCAUGGGAGGCAUGGGAGCACCUACGGGAGGCAUGGGUGGCUUCGGAGCUACCAUAGAAGGCAUGGGUGGCUUCAGAGCUACCAUGGGAGGCAUGAGUUUUGGGUCUCUCAUGGGAGGCAUGGGAGCAACUCCGGGUAACAUGGGUGGACGCAUGUCUUCCUGUGUGCCUCACAUACCUUCUCAUUAUCCCGUUGGAGAUCUUACGAACACCAUCCGAGCUCCCGAUGACGAUGCGGCGCUUGAAAAUGAAGAGGAGGAGGAAGAAUCGUUUUCGGAUGUAGGAAUAAUCGGAGGAAGAAGAGGACGAUGAUGAGUGAUGUGGCAUGAUUGUUGAUGUGCCAUUUGUUUGUGCAAACUUUUAAUUGUCAUGAACUUGGUUGGGUGAUUUUGAACUAUGCCGUGCAAGUGAACUAUGCUAUGUCUUUGUUUUGCACAUUUGUUUAAUGUUUGAAACAUCAUCAUAUUGUCAAAUGGACAUGUGAAAAUCAUAUUUGCAAGCGCCGGCUGCUCGUGCGCUCUGUAAAUUAGCGCGCCUUCUGAAGCUGCUCGCGCGUGCCAUAUUUUACUGCGGCUGCUGGAGCCAGCGCCCUACUUUACGUAAAAAAACACUAUUUCGACGUUGUAAAAAAGUUUUUGCGCGUCGUGCGGUUGCGCACCUGUUAGAGAUGCUCUUAGAAUCGUGUUUUUACGGUGCCUAUGUGAUGCCCUAUUUUGCAAGAACUUGGUGUUGCGGUCGCCCAUCUGGCCGCUGCAUCACUUCUUCCCUGUCGUAGAGCUCAUGCAGGUCUUUUUCAAGCCACACCAAACCGAAGUCAGUACGUACGUGCCCAGUUCUGCAUGUGCUUGGACACAUCUUUUAACUUGCUACAAGGAGGCCAAUGAGCCAAUUGUUCCUUGCGUCAUGCAUGCAUGUCCCAUGCAUGAUGUAGCAGCGGGAUCCUAUACAGCAUGUAGGUCACCCGCUAGCAACAUAGCACGCACCCCCCCUCCCCUGGCCGGGCUCCCCGUUCGGCGUAUCUGCCUGUCCGUUUGCGGUUUAUUUUGCCACCGUUUUCAGAAGGUUCCAGAACCUUCCCAUAACCGUUUUUUUUAUGUUUUCUAUACUGGUUUUUCGUUUUCCUUUUCUUUUAAAUUUUUUCUUUCUUUUCUUAUUGUUUCUUUCAUUUUUCCUUUUUUUCAUUUUUUCUUUUCCUUUUUAUUUUCUAUUUUCUUCCUCUUCAAUUUUUGACUAUUUUUGGCAAUUUUUAUUUUUGCAUUCGUUAACACCUUUUUUCAUCGAAUACUAAAAAUGUUCAACAAUCCAGAAAAUGUUCAUCGAAUUCAAUUUUUUGUUCAUCAAAUUUAAAAAAUGUUCAUAAAAAUUCAAAAUUUGUUCAUCAAACUAAAAAAAUGUUCAUCGGAUUCUUUUUUUGUUCAUUGUUUUCAAAAAAUGUUCAUCACAUUCAAAAUUUGUUCACUUAAUUACAAUUAUGUUCAUCAAAUUCAAAUUUUGUUCAUAAUUUUUUCAAAAAUGUUCUUCAAUACAAAUUUUGUUCAUCAAAUAAAAAAAUGUUCAUAAAAUGCCAAAUUUGUUUAUCAAUGUUCAAAAUAUGUUCAUCAAAUUCAAAAAAAUGUACAUUCCUUUGAAAUAACGAACAUUUUUUGAAUUCAAGAAAUGUUUUGGAAUUUGGUGAACAUUUUUUAAUUCCGUCAGCAUUUAUCAUUUCGCGAACAUUAUUUUCAAAUCGUCAACAAUUUUCGAAUUCACGAACAUUUCACAAGUUGUAACUAUAUUGAAAUCCCGAAUUAGCCUUACAAUGGAAAACAAUUUAAAAAAAAUAAUAGAUGCUUCCGCUUUCCCUACGCACACAUGGGCCAGCCCAUGAGUCGGCGCGGGGGAGCGGGGGUUACGCGCUCCAUCGUUCGCUGGAGCGUACAACGCUAAAUGGGAGGUCUCGAUGUAGCAUCUCAUUGAAUCCGGAUGCAUGGUCCGACCAUCUCUUCAAACCGAAAGCUGCCCAUUUGGUCCAUCAUCCUGGCGUCUGAAAUACUUUUGGAAAGCAAUUAUGGUUAGUUUUCGGAUAAGUACUAUCGAUAAUCUACAAAUAGGAGAUGUUUUAUUGUAUUUUGAUUACUUUUGGAUAGACAAUCAUUACUAUUAAUAUCAUCCUUCGUAUCUAGAUAAAGUAAGACAAUCUAUAAAUAGAAGAUUUUUUAUUCUAUUUUGAUUAAGUUUGGAUAGACAAUUAUUAUUAUUAGUAUUAGCCUUCAUAUCUAGAUAAAUGUAAGGCAAUCUAUAAAGAGAAGUUUUUUUUCUGUUUUGACUACGUUUGGAUAAACAAUUAUUAUUAUUAGUAUCAUCCUUUGUAUCUAAAUAAAUAUAAGACAAUCUACAAACAGAAGAAUUUUCAUUCUGUAGACAAUUAUUAUUAUUAGUUCAGGAUAAAUAUAUUUGAAAUGCCAUGUGAUAAAUGUGGUAAACGAUCGAUCCACACAUGAGGAAUAUAUCUAGACAUGUUUUAGUGUUAAAUGCGUAAAUAUCUUCGUAUUUAAUAAAUCUAAGCCAAUUUUUUGGGAUGGAGGUAACAUAUAAAGAGGGGUCUCGCCCUCAUGGACAGAGCAGCACGGAGAGCAAAGUUGGCUUCCCUACGCAACGAUAACAAGGGUAGCUACCUCGCAAACCUGUGUGCACUCUGCAAGCAGCGGUCUCCACAAUGCUGGCUUGCUGCUGCUUUGUUGUGUCCCAGCUGCUCAUCAUAAUAACACUCAUAUACCUUGUCAUUACCAAGAGCAAGGUGCGCUGUAGCACGUGCUCAUCGGCGACGGUGCCGCUUCCACUUCCGCCGGGGCCAUGGCCGUGGCCAGUGGUGGGUAGCCUGCCCGAGAUGGUGGUCAACAAGCCAGCGUUCCGUUGGAUCCAUCGCGUGAUGAAGGAUAUGGGCACCGACAUCGCCUGCUUCCGCCUCGGCGGCGUCCACGUCGUCUCGAUCACAUGUCCCAAGAUCGCAAGGGAGGUGCUCAAGAAGCAGGACAAAAACUUCUCGUCCCGCCCACUCACCUUCGCCUCCGGCGCCAUCAGCAGCGGGUACAAGGACGCCGUGCUCUCACCGUUCGGUGACCAGUGGAUGAAGAUGCGCAAGGUGCUCACCUCUGAGAUCAUCUGCCCCUCCCGUCACAAGUGGCUCCACGACAAGCGUGCCGACGAAGCUGACAACUUGACGCGCUACAUCUACAACCUCACCGCCCGGGGGUUGUCAUCUUCAACGUCGAGACUAGCCAAUGUCAACGUCAGGCACGUCGCGCGGCAUUACUGCGGCAACGUCAUCCGCCGGCUUGUCUUCGGCCAACGGUACUUCGGGGAGCCUCAGCCGGACGGCGGGCCGGGGCCGAUGGAGGUGGAGCACAUGGACGCUUCCUUCGCCCUCCUAGGGUUCACCUUCGCGUUCUGCGUCAGCGACUACCUCCCGUGUCUACUUGGCCUAGAUCUCGACGGCCACGAGAAAAUUAUUAAGGAGGCCAACACAAAAGUGGAUAGACUGCACGACGUGGUCAUCGAAGACCGUUGGAGGCAGUGGAACAACAGCGAGAGGCAGGACGGGGUCCAGGACUUCCUUGACGUUCUCAUCACGCUCGCCGACGGUGAUGGCAAGCCGUUGCUCAGCAUCGAUGAGGUCAAAGCACAGUCCAAGGUAAGCAAAAUAUUAAUUAAUGAGAAAUUUUAAGAUGGUUCAAGGGCCUAGAUUGAAUUUAGUGACCAAUUGCCUCAUAGUCCUACAAGGUACUAAUACGUCAUCCAUGAGAAAAGGUAAUAGCUCACACUAUUAAAUACUAGAUCUUAUACCGUAUUUCGCAGGUGUUAGAAAAUGGAAACAAUAGAAUAAGAAAUUAUGAAUUAAUAGUUUAAAUAUAGCAUUAUUGUAAUUUUCUACCAUUUUGAUGUGAUUUCAACUUAAAUUGUAUUUAAAUUUCCAAUUAUUCAAUGUAAUCUCUCUUUAUGCAAAGGUAUAAAUUGUAAUAACUUACAUUUAUCUCCAUGGAAUGCAUGCAGGGCAUAAUAUUAGCGGCCAUAGAUAACCCGUCAAACGCAGUGGAGUGGGCGCUGGCGGAGAUGGUGAACAACCCAGAAUUGCUGGCCAGGGCGGUGGAGGAGAUGGACCGGGUGGUCGGUCGCGAGCGACUGGUGCAAGAGUCGGACAUCAUGCAGCUCAACUAUCUCAAGGCAUGCAUACGUGAGGCAUUUCGGCUCCACCCAAUCGCUCCCUUCAACCUCCCACACGUCGCGAUUGCCGACACCAUUGUUGCGGGCUACCGCGUGCCCAAGGGUAGCAACGUCAUCCUCAGCCGGCUGGCCCUGGGCCGAAACCCCACCGUCUGGGAUGAACCACUCCGCUUCAAGCCGGAGCGCCAUAUGGGAGACAACAUCAAUGUGGUGCUUACUGAGAGCGAAUUGCGGUUCAUCUCCUUCAGCACCGGACGACGGGGAUGCAUCGCGGCAUCACUAGGAACAACCAUGAGUGUCAUGCUCUUUGGCAGGCUCCUGCAUGGCUUCACCUGGACCAAACCGGCUGGGGUGUCAGCCAUCAAUCUCAGCGAGUCCAAGCACGACCUCUUCAUAGAGAAGCCGCUAGUGCUACAUGCUGAGCCACGUCUUCCAGUGCACCUCUACCCUCUCAUGCAUUGUUGAGCAAAUAACGAGCUAUGAAUCACCGAUAUGGCGAGUAUGCUAGCUAUUUUUUGAUGAAUCUAUAUUUACUAAUAAAGGAAGGAAAUAUUCUUUUUUCGUCCCGCUUUGUUUCGUUCCACUUCGAUUGAUUUUUCACGUAUGCUAGCUAUUCUGGUUUUGUCUGUUUCACGUACGAGCGAGCCGGUUUCUUUCAUGCGCCGAUGGAUUGUCCUAGGCUUGUCCAAAGCAUUGGAACAGUACGUGAUAGGCAAACAACCACCCAUCUAGUAUUAAUUUUGGACAAAUAGAGAUUAAAUGUAUACAAGAUGAUGCUCUUUAUAUCACCAACGAAUGAUGAAAGUAGGUCGGCGCAUAUAGGGCAACUCCAUUUGAGUUGUUUCUUCCGGCCCAAGUCCCAGGCGGGGCAGCAUAACAGCCUAAUAGUCUUUCUAAUUUGGUUCAUCAAUUAAAUAGUACCACAUAGUUUUCUUACUUUUAAUCCUACAAGUUUAUAUACGCUAGCAAAUUGCCAUGGGAAUCAAUAAGCAGCCUAAAAACAUUAGAAAACUCAGAGAGUGAGGUAUGCAAUGAGGACGCACAUUUUGAGGAUGAUCAGAUCUGAGAUUAUGGGCCAAUGAAAGCAAUACAAACACGAUUAAAGAUCUGUGAUUAUGGGCCAAUGGAACUAGUGAAAACCCAACUAAAUAUCUGAGAUCGUAGGCCAAUGAAAGAAAUGAAGACCCGAUUAAAGAUUCAAGACUAUUAUGGGCCAAUGGAAGAAAUAAAGACGUGAUUAAACUUGCAAACUCAUGCCGAUGUGCAUGGUGCAUAAUUAAAGGACUCGUGGGCUAAAUCAUUAUAAUUUACACCAAAGGCGAGAAGCAGAUGGGUGGGGUAGACUGAGGAGGCAUUUAAGGAUGAGGAGGAACUCGCAAUUUCCACACUUGACGCAUACGACCAGCUCGUCGCCACACUCACGAAACAUGAAAUCAUGGGUGAUGACACGCCGAGGUGUCCACCAAAGCCCGUGCCACCAGAGAGCUACCUCUCUCUCUAGGGAUCUUGUAUUUCUUGCAAUUAAUUUUGAUGAUAAAGACUAAUGUUUGCCCCGCGUUGCAACACACGGGCAUAUGUGCUAGUAAAUCAAAAGAAAAAAGAAAACUGAAAUAAAAAUCAAAAAUAAAAACCUCAAGGAAAAAACAACAAAAAGCCCAAGAAAUACAGGAAUGGAAUCAAACCAUGGAAGAAAAAACCAGAAAAUCAGCACAACAAAAGUUGAACCAAAUACAACGAAAGCAACAGAAUAAAAAGGGAGCAACUAGUUGACGAGGGCUCCUUCGGGAACCUCGCAACGAUCAGCGCCACUUGGCACGCUCUCAGCCGCCCCGCCACAUGUCGCGCUCUGGACGCUCCCUUCGUAUUUUAAUUCUUUUCGCAUGCGUUUUCGGCUUUUUAAAUGGUUUAUUUGGGGUUUUUUCGACGUUUUGGUUUUCCACAGCUUUUAGGCCAAAAAAUUCCAAAUUGCGUGAAAAAGCGCGCUUAUUUUUCUUCCGCGAAAGGCACGGUUGUGCUUCCGCGAGAGGCACGGUUUUGCUUCCGCGAGAGGCACGGUUGUGCUUUCGUGAGAGGCACGGUUUUCCUUCCACGAGAGGCACGGUUGUGCUUUCGCGAGAGGCACGGCCAUGCCUCUCGAAAAUGAAAAAAACGCGUUUUCUAUUUUUUUUGCUUCCGCGGGAGGCACGAUUUUGCUUCCGCGAGAGACACAGUUGUGAUUUUGCGAGAGGCGCGGCCGUGCCUCUUUCGAAAAGGAAAAAUGCAUUUUUUUUGUUUUUUUCCUUCCGUUAGAGGCACGGUUUUGCUUCCGCGAGAGGCACGGUUGUGAUUCCGCUAGAGGCACGACCAUGCCUCUUUCGAAAAGGGAAAAAACCGUGCUCCUAGUUCGGUUUUUUCGUCCAGUUUUUUCAUGAAAAAAAAGUUCGUUAAAACCUAUCAACAUGGUAUCUAGUUUUUAAGAUCUCGACACGAGGAAUCGAACGGUGAAAAUGGUUCGAGAUUUGGACGCAUGAUUUAAGAGAUAAAAUGUUUUGAAUAAACGGAUCUACGAAAAAAGAGAAAACUCACAUGCUGUGACAAAUGAUGCGUGCCAUUUGUCACAACCUGAGAAGGCGGUUGACACGAUAAACUCAAUUGGCAUUAAUGAUAGAGAUAGGGUAAGUGUCAUGUCUUUAUGUUCCUUCCAUGUUCAUGCUUCUUUUUUGGUGUUUCAAGUGCUAACUUGUUCUUUUGUUUGUAGGUCACUAUUGCAUAAAACUUAUUUCAAGGAGAAGAGAAGAAGACCAAGAAAGGGAGACCAUUUGUGUUGGCCCGUUGCUACAAUGUGUUGAAGGAUGAAGAGAAAUGGAAGCCCCGUGAUGACCAAGAGGAGAGCAAGAAAAGCAAGGAAACUAUUGAUUUGGAUGAUGAUGAGGGGAGGAGGAGGCAUCAAGUGAUGGCGGCAAGAGAAGCCCUACACCAAACUCGGUUGCCUACUCCAAACCAAAGAGACCAAAUGGAGGCAAGAAAGAUGAAGAAGAAGAAGAAUAAGAAUAAGAAGAAGAAGAAGAAGAAGAAGAAGAAGAAGAAGAGAGGAGGUGAUGAUUUAAAGAAUGCUAUGGAAGCUAUUGUGAAGGCACGAAAGGAAGCAAACGAGGUGAGGAUGAUGACAAGGAGCCAAGAUACAGAGGCCGAGGAGAGGAGGGUGGCUGUCGAGGAGAGGAGGGUGGCAUUGGAGGAGAAGAAAUUGGCCAUGAAGGAGCGAUCUAGAUUAUUGAAAUGGGAGAAGCACUUGUUCUUCAUGGACACAUCUAAACUCGAUGAUAGGCAAAAGGAGUACGUCAUUCUUUCCCCUGAAGAAGUCGUAGUACAAAAAAGAGACAUGGACAUGGAAGGCAUGGGAGCUACCAAUGGGAGGCAUGGGUGGCUUCGGAGCUACCAUGGGAGGCAUGGGAGCACCUACGGGAGGCAUGGGUGGCUUCGGAGCUACCAUGGGCGGCUGGGAGGCAUGGGUGGCUUCAAAGCUACCAUGGGAGGCAUGAGUUUUGGGUCUCUCAUGGGAGGCAUGGAAGCAACUCUGGGUGACAUAGGUGGACGCAUGUCUUCCUGUGUGCCUCACAUACCUUCUCAUUAUCCCGUUGGAGAUCUUACGAACACCAUCCGAGCUCCCGAUGAUGAUGCGGCGCUUGAAAAUGAAGAGGAGGAGGAAGAAUCGUUUUCGGAUGAGUAGGAAUAAUCGGAGGAAGAAGAGGACGAUGAUGAGUGAUGUGGCAUGAUUGUUGAUGUGCCAUUUGUUUGUGCAAACUUUUAAUUGUCAUGAACUUGGUUGGGUGAUUUUGAACUAUGCCGUGCAAGUGAACUAUGCUAUGUCUUUGUUUUGCACAUUUGUUUAAUGUUUGAAACAUCAUCAUAUUGUCAAAUGGACAUGUGAAAAUCAUAUUUGCAAGCGCCGGCUGCUCGUGCGCUCUGUAAAUUAGCGCGCCUUUUGAAGCUGCUCGCGCGUGCCAUAUUUUACUGCAGCUGCUGGAGCCAGCGCCCUGCUUCACGCAAAAAAACACUAUUUUAACGUUGUAAAAAAAAUUUUGCGCGGCGUGCGGUUGCGCACCUGUUAGAGAUGCUCUUAGAAUCGUGUUUUUACGGCGCCUAUGUGAUGCCCUAUUUUGCAAGAACUUGGUGUUGCGGUCGCCCCUCUAGCCGCUGCAUCACUUCUUCCCUAAGGAAGAGCUCAUGCAGGUCUUUUUCAAGCCACACCGAACCGAAGUCAGUAGGUACGUACCCAGUUCUGCAUGUGCUUGGACACAUCUUUUAACCUGCUACAAGGAGGCCCAUGAGCCCACUGUUCCUUGCGUCGUGCAUGCAUGUCCCAUGCAUGAUGUAGCAGCGGGAUCCAAUACAGCGCGUAGGUCGCCCGCUAGCAACAUAGCACGCACCCCCCCUCCCCUGGCCGGGCUCCCCGUUCAGCGUAUCUGCCGGCCUGUUUUGCGGUUUAUUUUGCCACCGGUUUUCAGAAGGUUCUAGAACCCUCCCAGAACCAUUUUUUUUUUGUUUUUUAUGUUUUCUAUACUGGUUUUUCGUUUUUCUUUUCUUUUAAAUUUUUUCUUUCUUUUCUUAUUGUUUCUUUCAUUUUUCAUUUUUUUUUCUUUUUCUUUUUAUUUUCUAUUUUCUUCCCCUUCACUUUUUGACUAUUUUUUGCAAUUUUUAUUUUUGAAUUCGUUAACACCUUUUUUUCAUCGAAUUCUAAAAAUGUUCAACCACGUAAAAAAAUGUUCAACAAUCUAGAAAAUGUUCAUCGAAUUCAAUUUUUUUCAUCAAAUUUAAAAAAUGUUCAUAAAAGUUCAAAAUUUGUUCAUCGAACUAAAAAAAUGUUCAUCGGAUUCUUUUUUUGUUCAUUGUUUGCGAAAAAUGUUCAUCACAUUCAAAAUUUGUUCACUGAAUUACAAAUCUGUUCAUCAAAUUCAAAUUUUGUUCAUAAUUUUUUCAAAAACUGUUCUUCAAUACAAAUUUUGUUCAUCAAAUUAUUUUUUUUAUAAAAUGCCAAAUUUGUUUAUGGAUGUUCAAAAUAUGUUCAUCAAAUUCAAAAAAAUGUACAUUCCUUUGAAAUAACAAACAUUUUUUGAAUUCAAGAAUUUUUUGGAAUUUGGUGAACAUUUUUUAAUUCCGUCAGCAUUUAUCAUUUCGCGAACAUUUUUUUCAAAUCAUCAACAAUUUUCGAAUUCACCAACAUUUCACAAGUUGUAACUAUAUCGAAAUCCCGAAUUAGCCUUACAAUGGAAAACAAUUUAGAAAAGCAAAAAAAAAAAGAUGCUUCCGCUUUCCCUACCCACACAUGGGCCAGCCCAUGAGUCGGCGCGGGGGAGCGGGGGUUACGCGCUUCGUCGUUCGCUGGCGCGUACAACGCUAAAUGGGAGGUCUCGAUGUAGCAUCUCAUUGAAUCCCGGAUGCAUGGUCCGACCAUCUCUUCAAACCGAAAGCUGCUCAUAUGGUCCAUCAUCCUGGCGUCUGAAAUACUUUUGGAAAGACAAUUAUGGUUAGUUUUCGGAUAAGUACUCUCGAUAAUCUACAAAUAGGAGAUGUUUUAUUAUAUUUUGAUUACUUUUGGAUAGACAAUCAUUACUAUUAAUAUCAUCCUUCGUAUCUAGAUAAAGUAAGACAAUCUAUAAAUAGAAGAUUUUUUGUUCUGUUUUGAUUAAGUUUGGAUAGACAAUUAUUAUUAUUAGUAUUAGCCUUCGUAUCUAGAUAAAUAUAAGGCAAUCUAUAAAUAGAAGUUUUUUAUUCUGUUUUGACUACGUUUGGAUAAACAAUUAUUAUUAUUAGUAUCAUCCUUCGUAUCUAAAUAAAUAUAAGACAAUCUACAAACAGAAGAAUUUUCAUUCUGUAGACAAUUAUUAUUAUUAGUUCAGGAUAAAUACAUUUGAAAUGCCAUGUGAUAAAUGUGGUAAACGAUCGAUCCACACAUGAGGAAUAUAUCUGGACAUGUUUUAGUGUUAGAUACGUAAAUACCUUCGUAUUUAAUAAAUCUAAGCCAAUUUUUUGGGACGGAGGUAACAUAUAAAGAGGGGUCUCGCCCUCAUGGGCAGAGCAGCACGGAGAGCAAAGUUGGCUUCCCUAUGCAACAAUAACAAGGGUAGCUACCUCGCAAACCUGUGUGCACUCUGCAAGCAGUAGUCUCCACAAUGCUGGUUUGCUGUUGCUUUGUUGUGUCCCAGCUGCUCAUCGUAAUAACACUCAUAUACCUUGCCAUUACCAAGAGCAAGGUACGCUGUGGCACGUGCUCAUCGGCGACGGUGUCGCUUCCACUUCCGCCGGGGCCAUGGCCGUGGCCAGUGGUGGGUAGCCUGCCCGAGAUGGUGGUCAACAAGCCGGCGUUUCGAUGGAUCCAUCGCGUGAUGAAGGAUAUGGGCACCGACAUCGCCUGCUUCCGCCUCGGCGGCGUCCACGUCGUCCCGAUCACAUGUCCCAAGAUCGCAAGGGAGGUGCUCAAGAAGCAGGACAAAAACUUCUCGUCCCGCCCACUCACCUUCGCCUCCGGCGCCAUCAGCAGCGGGUACAAGGACGCCGUGCUCUCACCGUUCGGUGACCAGUGGAUGAAGAUGCGCAAGGUGCUCACCUCUGAGAUCAUCUGCCCCUCCCGUCACAAGUGGCUCCACGACAAGCGCGCCGACGAAGCUGACAACUUGACGCGCUACAUCUACAACCUCACCGCCCGGGGGUUGUCAUCUUCAACGUCGGGACUAGCCAACGUCAACGUCAGGCACGUCGCGCGGCAUUACUGCGGCAACGUCAUCCGCCGGCUUGUCUUCGGCCAACGGUACUUCGGGGAGCCUCAGCCGGACGGCGGGCCGGGGCCGAUGGAGGUGGAGCACAUGGACGCUUCCUUCGCCCUCCUAGGGUUCACCUUCGCGUUCUGCGUCAGCGACUACCUCCCGUGUCUACUUGGCCUAGAUCUCGACGGUCACGAGAAAAUUAUUAAGGAGACCAACACAAAAGUGGAUAGACUGCACGACGUGGUCAUCGAAGAGCGUUGGAGGUAGUGGAAUAGCGGCGAGAGGCAGGACGGGGUCCAGGACUUCCUUGACGUUCUCAUCACGCUCGCCGACGGUGACGGCAAGCCGUUGCUCAACAUCAAUGAGGUCAAAGCACAGUCCAAGGUAAGCAAAAUAUUAAUUAAUGAGAAAUUUUAAGAUGGCUCAAGGGCCUAGAUUGAAUUUAGUGACCAAUUGCCUCAUAGUCCUACAAAGUACUAAUACGUCAUCCAUGAGAAAAGGUAAUAGCUCACACUAUUAAAUACUAGAUCUUAUACCGUAUUUCGCAGGUGUUAGAAAAUGGAAACAAUAGAAUAUGAAAUUAUGAAUUAAUAGUUUAAACAUAGCAUUAUUGUAAUUUUCUACCAUUUUGAUGUGAUUUCAACUUAAAUUGUAUUUAAAUUUCCAAUUAUUCAAUGUAAUCUCUCUUUAUGCAAAGGUAUAAAUUGUAAUAACUUACAUUUAUCGCCAUGGAAUGCAUGCAGGGCAUAAUAUUAGCGUCCAUAGAUAACCCGUCAAACGCAGUGGAGUGGGCGCUGGCGGAGAUGGUGAACAACCCAGAAUUGCUGGCCAAGGCGGUGGAGGAGAUGGACCGGGUGGUCGGUCGCGAGCGACCGGUGCAAGAGUCGGACAUCAUGCAGCUCAACUAUCUCAAGGCGUGCAUACGUGAGGCAUUUCGCCUCCACCCAAUCGCUCCCUUCAACCUGCCGCACGUCGCGAUUGUCGACACCAUUGUUGCGGGCUACCGCGUGCCCAAGGGUAGCAACGUCAUCCUCAGCCGGCUGGCCCUGGGCCGGAACCCCACUGUCUGGGAUGAACCGCUCC
rnacentral:lncRNA from 1 species